rnacentral:lncRNA from 1 species
CACCAUCAUUUUCAUGAAUCGGAGAGAAACCUUAUGACACUUAGAUUUAUAUGGUGUAUGAGUUCCUACCCAUAUGAAUUUGUCAAACCAUAAUCACAAGACAAAGAUAAUGACAAAUCCAAAACCAUAUGGAUUGAACUCAAUCUUAACUUCUUGCCACCUGGCAGCUCAAGGGCCUGCCAUUGCUUCCAAGUUGUUAUGCAACAAACUGAGAACUCUAAGAACUCAUAUGCAAAGCCAACUUUAACUGGAAUGGGCACAGAUAUGUCAACACAAUAGAUUAUAAACCUCAAAUUGUGUGCUAGAGAAGAACUUUAGGUUUUAUUCUUGAUUAGUUCUUGAGACUUUCAAGACCUUUAAGACUCGCACUCUCCUCUUAACAUAUAAGACUUUCUUGUCAGAUAUUCAAGAGAUAGUGUGGAUUCUAAUCAAGACAAACACUUCACAUGAUUGGCCUUAGUUGGUCUUUGUUUUAUCCAAAAUCACAACUUACCAAUAUAAAUGUACAAGAGUAUAAAACUUUUACCCUUACAUUUGAUAAGUGUUUUAAACCUUCUUUAAGACAUGUCACUCAAAUGACAAUCUUGGAGUAUGACUCUAAGACUUGUAUUGGAACGAAGUAUGACUCAUCUUCUUGAUUUAACCAUUUCAACAAUUCAAGUUCCUCUUCUUAGUCAUAAGAAUGCACUAAGAUUUCCUUAGAGAACUAAUUUUGAUAUGGUUUCUUAAUCAUUAAGAUGAUCACAAAACUGAUACUAAAGUACUCUCCCAUCUUUUCAGAUUUGAGAAACUUUUAUCCUUCUGCCUUAUUUGAUUCUUCUUAUCGAUCUUUAGUGGUGGACUUAAUCAGUGCACAAGAAUGUGUACUCGAUCCCUAAGUCCUUUACUUGACUCACACAUCCAUGUGAACAAGUAAUUAGUCUUAAUUUUCCAAAACUUGAAAGUUCUCAUUCAUCAUGCUAUACAACUUGCAUGAUUCCAAGUUCCGGUCCAAUUGAAACUUGGGUGAUGAGAAUCUUUCCUUAUUUGGUAAAUUUAGACAUUACCACAAAUGAAAGAAUCAAUUUCAUAUUUCCACUCUUGCUAUUAAUGGAAUCAUAUAAGCAACAAUUUUUCCUCAAAUGCCAUUGUAAGGAUAUUUUAAAAUAAAUAAAAUAAAAAAUUUUCUUUUAUUUUAAAACUUUGCGGAAAAACUUAUCCUUACAAUCCAUAUGAAAACUUGUUGUUAUCUAUUCCUAAGCAAUAUCUCAUAACUCCUAAGAAGUAGCUCAAGAAUCCGAUCUUCAAACUAUGCGAUAGAAAUCCAUCUACGCGAUCAGAUUCAGCAUAUUCUUUCUUUAAGUUUCUUCACUUUUCUUUGAUUCUUAAAACAUCACCAUGUGACCCAGUCACAUCAUGUAUCAAGAAUCUCAGAAUAGAAACUUAACAGAGUUAGAUAGUGGAUUUUACCUGAAGUAGAGUCAAACUUAUUGACUUUAACAUCCUUAGGUAAAUUUGGCAGCUUCGCAACCAAUGCCCUUUCUUUGGCAAUACAAACAUAUGGACCCUUUGAUAAUGGUACACAGGACUAUCACAGACUUAGCUUUUCUCUUUACCAUUUGGUCAACCGAGUUGACUAUAGCCGAUCCCUUUCCAUUGGGAAGAGAAUGCUUUACUGGAUAUCCAAUGUCAUCAUUGUCAAUGUCCAUAAAGUUUUAGGAAGUUGAUCUUAACAAAUAGAUAAGAUCAUUAAGGGUCUUGUCAUAGUCUGUUUCAUAGGUGUCCCAAAGGAACUCACUAUGUGACUUAGAAAGUGAUUGAACCACCAACUUUCUCAAGACUUUGACACCCAACUCUCCCGGCUUGUCAAUAUGUGACUACAUCUCCAAGAUGUGACCACACCUAGACCUUGCCUUGCUAAUAGGGCCUGAGUGACCUUAAACUUUUCAAGAACUUGUGGGUUAGGGAGAAUAAUUUGAAGAGGUGAAGAAGUAUGAUAUCCAUGGGACAUCAUCUUCAUUAGGAAACCUUGUUUCAAGAGAUUUGGGAAGAUCAUAGGUGUCUAAACCAGACAUCUUUUGGGAGAUAUUCAAGAUAGUUGAUUUAAAGUCCUUAAUAUGACACCCAAUAUGAAAUAUUAAGGCUAGGACCCAACAAACUAUUUUAUAACUUAGAAGAGGUAUGCCGUAAUCCAAGCUAUAAAAUAUUUGAAGGUAGGUGAAUGACGAUUCACCAAUUUCCACCAAGAUAAACGAAAUGUAUUAUUAGGUUUUAAUUGGUUUUGAAACUCCUAGAUCUUUGAGAUUCAUUGAACUGUUCAAUGGCAUGUUUCAAUCUCGAGUGUGCCCUUCAGGUUUUGUGACUGGGAUGCCGAGGAUCACAAAACAAGGUGUGAAGUAACCAUGCAAAUUACUUGGUACCCUUAAGUGUUUACCCCUCAAUCGAUGUGUCGGUUAACCACACACGCUCCAUCGAUACUAUGAUAAACAUUAAGUUACCCUUUGCCUACCUUGUUAAAUACGAGUUAGUGUGUCGGUUAACCACACACGCUCCACUAACCGACUUAAACAAAGUGCAAAGUGUAAUUUCAUGGAUUAGCACCUUAUUCACAUUUUCCUAAGUAACUAAGAUUGGGUAUUUAUAAAAGGUUUAGUUACUUAGUAUUUAUCAUUAAUACUUUUAAUGAAGGGAGAAUUAUAGUCCUUGUCCUACCCGUUCGGCUAACGACCCUCCACCGGUCAAGGAAGCGGUGGGUGAGAGUGGACACCCAUUAAACUGUCAUUUUAUAGGCAGUAACCUUAUACCCCCCUUAUAGACCGACUUCGUGAAUGAGGCCUACUAACGGUAAGACUGACUUUGUUCUUAUACAUAUAUAUAAGUAUUAACUAUUAAUAUUAUAAUAGUAUAAGGGUGUAUUUUAAACAUUUAAAAUACUUGGUGGUUUAAUCUAUUAAUUAAACUAUACUCUUAAUUUAAUUAAACUUAAACCAUGUCUUUAUGGAAUUAUUAACUCUUUUAAUUAGACACUUUAAUUAAUUUAAUGAAGUCCAUAAAGUUUGAACUUUAACUUUUAAAAUUCUUGGGUUUGGAAUUAAAGUGUAUAUGGGGUUUGACUUUACAAAUUCCAAAACUUGAGGACAAGUUUUGAACAAUUCAAAAAACUUAUGGUUUCCAUAACUUAUGAAUUUUAAAGUGGUUUAAUGGAAAAAACCCUUCAAGUUCCAUAACUUGUAGACAAGUUAUGGAAGACUUUAAAAGCAUUAAAAAAUGUGACUCUUCAUUUUUUCAUAACUUAUGGAAAUUUUAUGAGUUUUAAAAUUCAUAAAUGUGACUUUUCAUGUAACUUGAGGACAAGUUACAAAAACACAUAUUAUGAACAACUUCAAGAUUAAUUUGGAUUGAAAACAACUAUCUCAUAAUUUUUCCUAUUAAUCUAAACAAACUCAUAAACAUGAACAUUCAUAAUCAACAUUUUUCAAGCAUCAUAUAAACAUGUAUAAAACUUGAAACUUUGAUUAUUAUCCUUUAUUUGGAUGAGAAUAAACAUUACCAUAGUAUCAAAAAACAAAUUUUAUGAACAAAAACACUUUGCGGUAGUGAUUCUAAUCCAAAACAGGCAAAAAAACUCGAAGAUAAGCUGUCAGGGGGUCCAACUCGUCGAGUGCAUGAACCAACUCGACGAGUUGGAUGAAUUUGUUCAUGGACUUGUCGAGUCCAUCACUGGACUCGUCGAGUCUGCUGUCCCGACAGCAAAAAAUUCGAUUUUUUUCAGUUUUUUCCAGCAACUUGCAUCAAGUAUAAUUGAAAACAACCCAUGGCUCUGAUACCACUGUUGGGUUUUGGUAUACUACAACAUCCUAUGGUGCACAUACAACCCUAAAUACCUUGGAUCUAUGUUUUCACUAAUUAUACAUGCAAAUGGUUUCCAAGGUAUUAAUCUUACAACUAGCAUGCAUUUAACAUAAAAAUAUAAUAUACUAGUUAGCAUGACAUACCUUUUGAUGGAGCUUGAAUUCUUGGUGUAUUUGGCCUUAAAGAGCUUAGCCCCGAUAGUGUGGAAGCCUCAAAUGGAAUCACAACACACCAUGGACAAAGGAUGAACUUGAGAGAGAAUUCCAUACACACAAAAGACACCAUGAACUCUAAAAAGAUACAAGUGGCGAUUUUGGGCAAUGAAGUAUCUAUUUAUAUGUGGGAUUUCUAGGGUCAUGGAUAUAACCCAAAUCCAUACCCAUGGGUUUUAUGAUCCAUGGUUCAUGUGGCCCAACUCUUUAUGUAUCCAUACAUAAACUUGGUCCAACAUGGAUCAUAAGCCCAACACAUAUAAAUAUAACUAAUUAUCAUAAUUAGUCCCCAUAGAUUUAAUUAGUCUCUUUCGACCACUAAAUUAAUUCCAAAUUAAUUCUUGAUCAAUACAAAUUAAAACAUAUGUUUCAUAAUAAUAUAUUAUUACUUAUAAUAUAUUAAUAAACCAUAAAUAACCUUCUCUCAAAGGUCCAUCCUAACAAAUUGUCUUGAUGAUAUGCAACCCAAAUGGACCAUGCUACUCUCGGUUCGAAUACAUACCAAUAAUAGUUAUGGGCUUAGACACCUAAUCCAAUAGUUGUUGCCAUCCAUUGUCACGCUGUGGCGGCCCUCUAAACAUGCGAUAUAUUAAUUUCACGCCACAUUGUGGGCAUCCAUGACCACAUCGUGGCUAAGUUUUUGAUCCAAAAACCUUAUUUUGAUUCCUUUAAUCUUGGCUAACCUUCUUCAUGAAAUGGGUGUUAUAAUUGAUCCUACAGUCGAAGCAUAUGGGACUCGACUCAUGUCAACCAACUCUUCAUAUGUACUAGGGUUUGAGUCUUACUCAAUUUGGCAUUACUCUGAAUAGGCAGUUCCCCUUUCUUGGAAUUUUCCAUACUAAAACGCUUUAGUAUUCUAUCCAAGUAAGUACUCUGACUAAGACCAAUAAGUCUUUUCUUUCUAUCCCUCAGAAUCCUUAACCUGAGAAUAUAGGCAGUUUCCCCUAGAUCCUACAUGGAGAAACACUUCCCGAGGCAAGAUUUUACUUCUUGCAAAUCUGAAAUGUCAUUUCCCAUAAGGAUUAUGUCAUCAACAUACAAUACAAGGAAAGUAACUGUACUCCCACUAGCUUUGACAUACACACAAGACUCAUCCUCACUCCUAGAGAAAACCAAACUCUUUGACUUUCUGAUAGAAGCAAAGAUUCCAACUGCGAAAUGCUUGUUUCAAUCCAUAAAUGUAUUCUCAAGAUUACACACUCUAUUAGGAAGCUUUGCAUGUACAAAACCCUUUUGUUGGCUCAUGUAAACAUCCUCAGCCAAUUUCCCAUUAAGGAAAGUAGUUUUGACAUCCAUCUGCCAUAUUUCAUAAUCAUGAAAGGCAGCUAUGGUAAUCACUAUCCUAAUAGACUUGAUCUUAGCCAAUGGUGAAAAGGUCUCAUCAUAGUCAACCCCAAAGGUUUGAGUAAAGACCUUUCCAACUAGUCGUGCCUUAAACGUGUGUACUUUCCCAUCCUUUUCGAUCUUCUUCUUGAAGAUACAUUUGCACCCAACUGUCUUUUCGACUUGCUGCAUGAUAAACCAAAUUCCAAACUUGGUUGUAAUACAUGGAAUGGAUCUUGCUGUCCAUUGCCUCUUUCCAUUUGGCAGCCUCAGGGCUCACCAUCACUUUCUUGUAGUUAGUCAGCUCAUCCAAAUUUACCAGUGUACCAUCACUGAUAAACGUGUCACCGUCUGAUGUUAUAUGGAAACCGUAGAACUCAGGUGGCAUGCUAACUCUACUGUAUCAAUAAAGAGAUAAUUAAUUGUAAAUGGGCUCAACAGGAGUCUCAUCCUAUGGUUGAGAGCUAGUGUCUUCUAAGUUUCUUUCAUUGGUUGAUUAUGGAAUUUCUUCCAAAUCAAUGGCACUUCCAUUUUCCUCUUUGAAUAUGAGCACUCUCUCUCUCAAAAGACUACUCUUAGAGCUAUGAAGACCACGUUCUCACUAGGUCUUUAGAACAAGUAUCCAAAAGACUUUCGUAGGUAACCAAUGAAAAUACACCUCUCACAUCUAGGUUCUAGCUUGUCGUGAGUCUCUCGUCUAACGAAAGCUUCACAACCCCAAACCUUGAUGUGGCCUAGCGAGGGAACUUUUCUUUUCCACAUCUCGUGAGGUGUUUUGGCAACCUUCUUAGUAGGGACAAGACUAAGGAUAUGGGCGGCUAUCUCUAAGGCAUACCCCCAAAAAGAAAUAGGAAGUGAACCUCGACUCAUCAUGGAACACACCAUGUCUAACAAGGUUCGGUUCCUCCUCUCAACCACACCAUUAAGUUGUGGUGUCCUAGGAGGAGUAAAUUAUGAAACUAUUUCACAUUCCUAGAGGUAGUUGUGUAACUCGAUACUAAGAUACUCUCCACCUAUAUCAAAUCGAAGCAUCUUUUUCUUCCUUCCCAGUUGAUUAUCGACCUCGUGUUUAAACUCCUUGAACUUUUCAAAGGUUUUCUUAUUUAUGUUUUAUUAAGUAGAUAUAUCAAUAUCUUCUAUAAUCAUCAGUAAAUGUUACGUAGAAUCGAUUACCAUCCUUUUUGGUUGAUCUGAAGGGUCCACACACAUAUGUGUGUAUGAGAUCCAACAAACCUUCACCUCUUUCACAAGAUCUAGUGAAUGGUGAUUUUGUCAUCUUACCUAAAAGACAAUAUUCAUAUUCAUCAUAUGUUCUGAAGUUAAAUGAUUCCAACACUCCAUCCUUUUGGAGUUGGGAGAUGAGUUUCUUGUUAAUGUGUCGAAGACAACAAUGCCACAAGCAUGCUUUGUUUACACCAUUAGACAAAUCAAUAUUUAAUAUACUAUUGCCUAAGCUAUCAGUAGAAAUAACGGUUUCAUAUACACCAUUGCAAAGCAAAGAUUCAAACAUAAAAACAACAUUUUUAUAAUCUAAAAUCGAACCAUUCGUAUUAUUAAAAGAAUAUUGAAAUCCUUGUCUAAACAAUGCAUGAAAAGAAAUAAUGUUUCGUAUAGCAAACAAUAAUGUAAAAUAAACUAAACUAUUCAUAACUCUACUUCAAUCUUCAACUUGAUCUCUCCAGCUAAUGCAAAAUAAAAACUUUCUUCAGUUCCUUAAGUGGAUUGAUCUCUUCUAAGCUCAACACUUCAUUCUUUAGUUCCUGCAAUACCAAGCAUAUGUGAAAAACACAUCUAGUAUCAAGAACUAAUGUCUUUAGUAGUAUGAAAUGUUUCGAUAACUACCUGGACUGGAUUCAGUUUCUUGAACCGAAUCAUCCUCAUCAUGGUUUAGGUAUUCAUGGUAGCUUCUUUUAAUGUAGUCUUUUAAUUCACAACAAGGACAAUAAGCAUCAACUAAGUCAUGGUUUAGAUCAACUUCAUGGUUAACUUUUCUCUUGAGUUUAUGUUCAAAUAGGGCAUAAGUCUGAUUAUUAGGGUUUUAAACCAUCUUAUAACCUUUAGACCUCAUUUCUAUCAGCCUCCUUUGCCUCUAAACGUCCCUAGAAACCCUAAUAGCCAUGGGAACUAAGUUUGAGCUUGGAGUGUCAUAAGGAAGCCAUUUUUGGGUGUGUUUGCAAGGAGAAGAGUUUGUGGUACAAUUCUUGAACAUGUUGAAGCUUCUAGAUCCAGCAUUUCCUUCAUCUUACGGAGCUUCUGGAGGUAUAAAGUCCAUACCUUGCUCAUAUAUUGUUUAGAUAUCCUUUUUGGACUUUUUUUGGUCUAUUUCAUCUUUUUUUGAAGGUCUUGAUGUGUCAAGACCAUUUGUGAUGCCAAAUUUGUAGAUCAAGACAUUUAAUGGCCUCUCCUAACUUAAAGGUGCAAACUUUAUGGUGUUUGUGACCUCCAUGCAAGCAUUAAGUCAUGUAUUAAGUUCUUUUGGGCUUCAUUAAGCCAUGCAUACACGUAAAUUUGGCAACUUUACGCGAUUACCCACCUCAAAGAGGUCAGAUCUGAGUAUUGGAUCAAAUGUUUGAACCAAAUAAGAGCUUAAUGUCAUAGUUGGCAAAUCAGAGGAUUACGUUAGGCGUACAAGCUCAUACGUGCAGCGUAUAGGCCCUUAAGCAUGUACGCUUAGCGUACAAGCUGAGUACGCCCCGUGUACUCAGCAGAGGGUUUCAGUAAUUUAGGCCUUCGGUGUGGGCUUUGCAUGUGGACUUUAGGAGCUUAGGGUUGCAUCGUGGGUUGUGGCCUGGUUAAAUUUAGGUUGGUUAAAUUCCAUCGUGGGCCUCUAGGGUCAUGAGUUGGUCCUUUUAGGCCUUAGACCCAUUAGUGUAAAUGGGCCAAGUUUGGUGGGUCCUGUUAUAAGGAAAAUUCUUUUAGGCCUUAUGGCCCAUUAUAGUUUGGACUUUGAUGCUAGGCCCAUUAGUGCAGGAAAGACUUUUGGGCCAUAAUGGAGGGAUUUAGACUUAGGAUUUUAGGCCCAUAACUAGGCUGUUUCAUAAUCCUAAUUAGGGUUAUUUGUAUAUCUAUGCAUUGUGGGAUUUUGGAUUGGUAGUCGGACGAUAUUGUUUCAGCAGACUGAGGUGAGUCUUUUCAUUAUACCAAUGGGUCGAAGGCACCAAUGUUGGCCCAUUACUUGACAUGAGAUCUUAAUAGUUGAUAUGCAAUGGUUUUGUUAGUUGCCAUGUAAUGACUUAUGUUAAGACCACGGGGGAGCCCAUGGCAUUUGGUUAUCAAACCAUGGGGGAGCCCAUGACACUUAGUUAUAAGACUAUGGGGGAGUCUAUGGCAUUCCAGGUGAAGACCAUAGAGGGAGUCCACGGCAAUCAUAUAUAUAUAUAUAUAUAUAUAUANUAUAUAUAUAUAUAUAUGUUGCAUGGUAUUAUGUGGUUCUAUGUGUUUUGUAUUUUGGGAACUCAUUAAGCGUUUGCUUAUAGUUUGUUGCGUGUUUCAGGUACUUCUGGUUCUAAGGGGAAAGGUCUGACAUCAUGGCACAACAUUCACUCUCCAGUAUUUUCGCAUUAUUGUUUUGGAUACUUUGAUCCUUUGGAUAUGAUUUAAUGUAAUGGACUUUUGAAAAACAAAACAUGAUUGUAAUUUCUAAAUAUUAAAUGAAAAUUUUAUCUAAAUUUCCAGGUUGUUACAAGUUGGUCUAAAAGCCUUGGUUUGAGGGAUUCGAGCACACUCUCGGGUGUCUCAGAAAUCAAACUGAGGAAAUGGUAAACAUUUUUCAAAAGAAACAAAAGUUAUAUUUUUCUGAAAAUGGUUUUCUUAAGCAAAGAGGAGAGUGCGAUGCGCGAUAUCGGCCGAGUCCAAGUAAGUAUACCCAAUGUGUUAGCCAUAGAAAUAUAUUCUUGAAAUUGAUGUUGACUUGAUUAUUUGCUAAGUGUAUGCUUUCAAAGUUGUAUAUGUAUAGGAUUGCAUAGCCCUAGAAUGAUAGAUUUUGCCUUAUUUCCUAUUCCUUGUUUGGUUGUGGUUUUAGGGUAGAAGCUUUAUUUAACAGUAUAUGUGAUUCUAUUUGUGUAUAACUUUCAUGCAUAGGGCAACCUAGGAUAAUUGAUUUAUGUUUCUGUUUCGGUGAGGAUUGGGAAAUCCUAGAAUAGUCUAGGAUCUGAGUUUGUGUUGUGUUUUGUUGGUCAUGUUUAUCUAUAGUUGGGUGAAUUAGGGGUAUCAGGUAUGGCCUUUGGGAAGGUACAGGUAGGUGUGGAAGGUAGUAUUGGGCCCAUACUACUAGAAGCACAGGACCUGUACCCGAAACAAGGACAGACCUGGAAGCACUGAGGAGUCCGGUGCGGAGGAAUCCUUUCGAACUUCCUUAUCAAUUGCUUUUUAUGUUGUAUUUUUCAGUUGAGGAUGGUGAUGAUUACGUGAGGAGGUCCAGGUUCGGGAUCAGCAUCUGGAUCAGGUUCAGGCUCUGAUGCGGAGCCAAUUGAUGAGAGGUUAUGCGAGCUUAUCGCGACUGAGGUUACUCGUGGCAUCCUUGACACUACCCUGGUAAUUUUCGGUACCGUCAAGGAAGGGAUCUUGGAGAUUAUGGAGGAGCGGAUCAGGUAUUUCCGAGCCGAGAUCACGGCAAGUCAGGUUGGGAGUCAAACUCCUUCGUUCCCGGAGUUCAAGGUGUGUGGUGCACCUGAUCUCUUUGGGGUUAAGGACCCCAUCGCUAGUCAUCGUUGGAAAGCUGACAUGGAGAAUUCUCAGCGCAUGAGUUUUUUCCUGGAUGUAGCAAAGCUGGGAUUCACGUCCUGUAUGUUGAGGGACUGAGCUCGGGACUGGUGGGAGGAGGUUACCCGCAAGGUGGGAUCAGUGGGUGUGACUAAGAUGAAUUGAGAAGAGUUUGUCCGAAGAUUUGAUCGGGAGUUUGCAUUGGCCAUUGAGGUGCAACAAUUAGAGAGGGAGUCCCAGGACCUUCACCAAACUAUGGAGUUGGGGGCGGAGAUUACUGCCAAGUUUAGAGAGAGGGCACUGUUGAUUCCACAGUAUGCUGCGGAUGAAGAGAUAAGGAAGAAAAUAUAUCAUGUUAUGCUAAGGGAUGAUAUCUAGGAGUUUGUGAGUUUCUUAGGGUGCAAGACCCUGAAUGACAUGGUGAAGAAGACCCGGGAAUGGGAAAUUAGUUGGAGCUCCGGACAAAGCGGAAGUCGAAGCAGGUUCAGACGACAGUGGGUCAGGAUAAGAAGCCUAAGACCUUCGAUCCUCCUAGCAGAGGGUAGCAGGGUCGGGGCCGCUGUGCCAAAGCGACAGGCCGCACAGUGGAGCAUGUCGGGUAGCAGGCUCGGCAUGUUACUCUGGUGGCCAGCCGGGCCACGUGACCCGGGAUUGCCCCAAGAACGGCUUGAUUUGUUUUUAGUGCAACCAGACCGGUCAUAGAAAAGCCGAUUGUCUCAGGUUGUCUGGAGGAGCAAUGGCUGCGCCUGCGCCCGCCACAAUGAGGAUUACGGAUGGAUGCCCGAUCAAGGAGGAGGAUCCUGCAAUGAAGAGCAGGGCAUUUCAGCUGACCACAGAGGAGGCCCGAGCAGCGUCGAACAUCGUGACUGGGACCUUUUUGGUCAAUGGAUUUUCGGAUCAUGUUCUUUUUUGAUUCGGGGGCUACCCGAUCAUUUGUAUCUAUUGCACUCAGCAAGAAGUUUCGAGAUGCUCCGGGGACUUUCGACUCCCCUCUCGAGGCGUAGAUUGCAGAUGACCGCACUGUGAGCGUUGCGAGGGUAUUUCGGAGGGGUACUAUGUGCAUGUUUGGUGAGAGGUUUCUUAUCGAUUUGGUACCAAUUCCUUUGAGGGGAUUGAAAGUAAUCAUCAGGAUGGACUUGUUGGGGCCUAAUGGGGUCGUAAUUGAUUGUGAGCAGUAGCUGGUGAGAGUUUGAACGCCAAGUGGGGGAGAACUGGUUAUUUAUGGUGAGAGAGCCUCGCAUUGGCCAGCUCUAUGUUCGGCUGCGAGGGCUAGGAGACUUCUUCAGCAGGUUUGUUCUAGGUUUCUGACUUAUGUCUCGGAUUAAAAGUUGGAGGCCAUGACAUAGUUGAGCAAGGUACCUAUUUUGCGAGAUUUUUCCAAUAUUUUUCUAGAGGAGUUGCUUGGGGUGUCUCCCGAGAGGCAGGUUAAGUUUCGGAUUGAUUUUAUGGAUGGUGAGGCUCUAAUAGCCAAGGCUUCAUAUCGUUUAGCUCUGCCUAAGAUGCGAGAGUUGUCUACGCAGCUGCAGGAGUUGCUAGACCGGGGAUUUAUUCGUCCGAGCAGUUCCCCGUGGGGAGCACCGAUCCUAUUCGUGAAAAAUAAGGAUGGGUCUCAGAGGAUGUGUAUUAAUUAUCGGGAACUAAACAAGAUGACAGUGAAGAAUCGUUACCCGCUUCCGAUGAUCGAUGAUUUAUUUGAUCGGGUUCAGGAUGCCUCUUUGUUUUCCAAGAUUGAUCUUCGAUCAGGGUAUCAUCAGAUGAGGAUCAGGGAUGAGGAUAUACCAAAGACGAUCUUCAGAACUCGUUAUGGUCAUUACGAGUUCGUGGUGAUGCCAUUCGGGCUCACCAAUGCCCCAGCAACAUUUAUGGAUCUUAUGAACCGGGUUUGCAGGUCGAUGCUGGAUGGGUAUGUGAUUGUUUUCAUUAAUGAUAUCUUGGUAUAAUCUAAGACCAAGGAGUAGCAUGAGCGGCAUUUGAGGGAGGUGUUGGAGACUUCGAGCAGGGAGAGGCUUUAUGCCAAAUUCUCCAAAUGCGAGUUUUGGUUAUGUGUGGUGCAGUGUCUGGGGCACAUCAUCAACCAAGCAGGUAUCUUGGUGGAUCCGGCCAAGAUUGAGGCGGUGAUGCGUUAGGAGGUCCCGAAGAAUGCAUCCGAGAUCUGGAGUUUCUUGGGUCUGGCUGGGUACUAUCAGAGAUGUAUCCAAGACUUCUCCAAGAUUGCAGUACCUUUGACCCUCUUGACCAAGAAGAGUGUGACCUUUUGGUGGGUCCACAUUAGAAAUUGACAUUUAAGACCUUUAGACAAAAAUUAUGUGAGGCCCCGAUUCUAGCCCUACCCGAGGGAUUGGUUGAUUUUCUGGUGUAUUGUGACGCUUCUAUUUCGGGUUUGGCAGUUGUCCUGAUGUAAAUAGGACAUGUGAUUACUUAUGCCACAAGGCAGCUGAAGCCUCAUGAGACGAAUUACCCCACUCAUGACUUGGAAUUGUGAGCAGUGGUAGUUUCCCUCAAAAUUUGGAGGCAUUACUUAUAUGGGGUCUGAUAUUUGCAUAUUUAGCCUCAUAAUAAGUAUAGAUUUUUAUCAUUUAUUAGCUAAUUUAUCACAUAUCAUGGACAAAAGGUACUUAAUAAUGCUUGAAUUGUGUUUUCAGUCCAAAAGUGAAGCUCGGAAGCAAAAGGAAGCAAGAGAAGCGGUUGGGAGCUCGGGAAUUGAACAAAGAAGAAAACCACCAAAAACAACACUUACUCGGCGAGUAGGGACGACUACUCGGCGAGUCCAAUCGAAGAUUCGAGAAGAUAAAGACUCCGGGACUUAUCGUGUACGGGAAUUAAGAGAUGGACUCGGCAAGUCGGCAAUGGACUCGACGAGUCGUUUCGCAUCUAUAAAGAUAACUUCUUAGAUCGACAUUCGACAUUUUGGAACCAUUUUGGAGAGAAUAGUUGCGAUUGAAGAGUCAGAAGAACCCUAGAGAACAAAGAUACAACCUAGAAUCCAAUUCCGAAGGAGAUUUGAGGCAAAUUCUCAUCAUUCUACUUAAUCUUUUGUUUUCCAUUAUGGUUAGACAAUUAGAAUUCGUUUUAUUGCUGUUAAUUACCUCAAUCAUGAGCUAAAACUCUUAAACUUCUGUUUGGGGAUACAAUAUUGAUACUAUGGUUUGAUUUAUGGUAGGAUUAAUUCAAUGUUGGUGAUUUUGUUGAUUUUAGCUUGUUAAAGAACUUUGUGUGUGAAUAAUAACUAUUUUUCUGUUAAUAGGAAGAUAAUUAAAUAGUAUGAACAUCUUUUAAUUGUCAACCUCAUAUGCUUAUGUGACCACUUCAUCAUAUGACUAGAAUUAUUAAGAAAAAUAGGUAAAUUCAUAUAUGAGCUUGUGUGAUGACCAUCAACAAGAAGUUAACUAAAGGACCAAAUUAGUUAGCUAUUACAAGUCUAAAUUAACCCGCACAAAUAAUCUAGUGAAUUAAAUUAAAUUAGACAACUGAUCACUGUUUGAGUUAGUUUAUUCUCUAAGGAUUCGUGCAGCGAAUGUGAAUCCAAUCACUUGAAUCGGUAACCAAUAGAAGAAUUAAUCCAUUGCACAAUUACCAUAAUAUCAACCAUAGGAUCAAUUGAGUUGAACUAAACAAAAGUCCUUCCCAUUAUUGAAUCUAGUUAAUUCUUUGCUUUUCUAGUUUUUACUUUAAGUGAUAGUUAGUAAGUUUAUAGUCUUGUAAAACUAGAGAAAACCCCUACUUAUUAAUUAAUUUAGAUAAAAUUAGUUUUUAGUUUUAAUUUACCGUUCCCUGUGUUCGAUACCCUACUUAUUUAGCUAUACCACAAUUGAUAGGUCCACUGCCUUUGUGUGUUCAUUUCAUAAUUAAAAGUAGGUUUAAAACUAAGUGAGUUUACACACAUCAAGUUUUUGGCGUCGUUUCCAGGGAACGGUUCAAAUAGUUAAUUUUAUUUGGUAAAUGUUAUCGUUUUUAUUUUAUUGAUUAGUUUUUUUUUAAUUUUAAUUUUUAUUUAUUAUGUAUUUUCCAAAUCUCGAUGCUUUUGAUGCUUUUCUUGAGGAAGUAGUGCAGGAAAUUGAGCAGGAAGAUGAGGAUUAUGACUCAGAUGAUGAUUUGAAGAAAUUUGGAAGAUGGUUAGAUAACUUCUUGUCUAAUGAUCAAGAACAAUUUGAGUCACAAGAGCUAAGGUUACAAGAUGAAGAAUUUAAUCCAGAAAGAGAUUUGGAGGAGUUGGAAAGGUUGUUAGCAGAGAGGUCGGACGAAGAACAAAACAAACUGAAUUGCAGGAUCCAAGUUGUGGUUUGACCAUUACCACGACAUUGUCCCUUAUUCUUCCAGUUUGUGUUUCGAAGCAUGGGGUGACGAUCCCAACUUUGGAGAAAGUUCUGAAGCGCGAUCCAUUUCUGAUUAGUACCCGACCGGUCCCAACCCUUGUCAGAAUUCUUGGGUUUAUGUAUUCAAGCUCGUUUGGCCAAUUUCAGAAGAAAAGAGCCAAAUUUUACAAAUUGGUCCAAAGAAAAUAUUUAAUGCAACAGAUGGAUUGGCAUUGAGUUUAUUAGAAGUUUAUUAAGUUGAGAGUCCAACUCAAGACUCGCACAAAAAGAAGCGCUUGCGGGAGGCAACCCGUCAUUAGAGUUUGCUUUUCUUUUUCUUUUUAAACUUCUAGUUUAUUAGGGUAAUUUAGGAAUUUAAUUUUGAUGUUUGUUUUCCUUUUUCUAUUACUUGUGUUUUGUUUUGAUCUUUUCAGUUUGAAGCUUAGGAUUGCAUGUGAGGGUCUAGAGUCAAGGCCGACGAAGCAAGAAAUGAGUCUAGGCNAGAGAGGAAACGAAGUUUUGAGUCAAGCUAUGAGUCCAAUUGAUAGAAGGGUUAUAGAGUGUUUAUUCCCUAAAGAAAAAUGAGGGAAAUUAUUGGUUUAUAUAACCCCCUUACAUCAGAAACGGACUUGGGCAGAAUAAAAAUUAUUGGUUUAUGGGCAUUGGUUCUAUUCUUUGAAGAUCAUUCACCGAGCAUUUCCAAGAGUUUCUCUUAUAUUUGGAGCUUUUAUAAAGACUGUACCACACGAGAUUUGGACACCCAAGACAUGGAUGAUUUGUUCCCAUGUCUAAAGUCAAUUGAAGAUGGAGCUGAAGAGAAGAGAUAUCAACCGAGCCACUACUAUCCCAGGGUAGUUUGUUCCAAUUCUCUCCUUAUUUUUAUUGUUCUUUAUCAUGCAUGAUAUGCAAUGGGGACAUUGCAUAAAUUAAGUGUGGGGUAGGGAGUUGGUUGGUUACACUAGUUAAAUUUUAAAAUUUUGCAUAAAAUUUGCUAGGAUUAAUUUAGAAAAUUUUGGUAAGGCAAUUAGGGAUCAUGCUAGUAUUAUAUUGGAUGAUUCUAUGAAGACCCAAAUUUUUAGUUGAGCCAAUAUACGUUCUAGUGCAUUUGUGGCCUCCUUUAUUCUAGUGAAAUCAUGGGACAAAAACACAACCUCGCUUAGUUUGUGGAUCGCAAUAUGUUUAGCAUCGUGUACCAAAAAUGUAUCUAGGAAAAUAUUUAUCUUUAAUCAAUAAAGGUUGAAGUUGAGCACCCUUGCUUAAGCAUGUAGGUUUUGAGUGAAAAAAAGUGAGUUACAUGUAAAAAAGAGAGAGAAUUACAAGAAAAGUUGUAAGAAUUUUGGAGCAGAUAAAGUGAAGGUCAAAAGAUCAAAAUUCCAAGAGUUCAAAAAUUGAAGAUACCAAAAAUCAAACAACAAGGUCGUGAAUUCAAAGAAAUCAAAGAUCAAAUACCAAAGAAAUGAAUAAUUCCAAAGAGCUCCAAUGUGGUAUCAUAAAUUGUAAUUCUAGAUUAUGUAUGCUUGGGUUGCUCAACCAAAAAUACCUUGAGGAUAGGAGGUUUUAUGUGGAUGGAUUCGGAGGGAUGCAUAAAAUGAGCAUUGUUCAGGAUAAGUGGGCGAAUGUUUAUGAGGAUUGUGAGUAUAUGGAGUAUGGGGGUUAUUAGGAAAAUUUUUAGAUACAAAUGCAUGCGUUGCGGUCUUGGCAUAAUGGUUGGUUGGAUUGGAGUUGUCAUAUGUGAUUAUAAUGAGCUAAAAUUCAGUUUUGCUUGGGAGCAAGCAAAAGUCAAGUGUGUGGUAUUUUGAUAUUUGCAUAUUUAGCCUCAUAAUAAGUAUAGAUUUUUAUCAUUUAUUAGCUAAUUUAUCGCAUAUCAUGGACAAAACGCACUUAAUAAUGCUUGAAUUGUGUUUUCAGUCCAAGAGUGAAGCUCGGAAGCAAAAGGAAGCAGGAGAAGCGGUUGGGAGCUCGGGAAUUAAACAAAGAAGAAAACCACCAAAAACAACACCUACUCGGCGAGUAGGGACGACUACUCGGCGAGUCCGAUCGAAGAUUCGAGAAGAUAAAGACUUUGGGACUUAUCGUGUACGGGAAUUAAGAGAUGGACUCGGCGAGUCGGCAAUGGACUCGACGAGUCGUUUCGCAUCUAUAAAGAUAACUUCUCUGAUCGACAUUCGACAUUUUGGAACCCUUCUGGAGAGAAUAGUUGCGAUUGAAGAGUCAGAAGAACCCUAGAGAACGAAGAUACAACCUAGAAUCCAAUUCCGAAGGAGAUUUGAGGCAAAUUCUCAUCAUUCUACUUAAUCUUUUGUUUUCCAUUAUGGCUAGACAAUUAGAAUUCGUUUUAUUGCUGUUAAUUUCCUCAAUCAUGAGCUAAAACUCUUAAACUUCUGUUUGGGGAUACAAUAUUGAUACUGUGGUUUGAUUUAUGGUAGGAUUAAUUCAAUGUUGGUGAUUUUGUUGAUUUUAGCUUGUUAAAGAAUCUUGUGUGUGAAUAAUAACUAUUUUUCUGUUAAUAGGAAGAUAAUUAAAUAGUAUGAACAUCUUUUAAUUGUCAACCUCAUAUGCUUAUGUGACCACUUCAUCAUAUGACUAGAAUUAAUAAGAAAAAUAGGUAAAUUCAUGUAUGAGCUUGUGUGAUGACCAUCAACAAGAAGUUAACUAAAGGACCAAAUUAGUUAGCUAUUACAAGUCUAAAUUAACCCGAACAAAUAAUCUAGUGAAUUAAAUUAAAUUAGACAACCGAUCACUGUUUGAGUUAGUUUAUUCUCUAAGGAUUAGUGCAUCGAAUGUGAAUCUAAUCACUUGAAUCGGUAACCAAUAGAAGAAUUAAUCCAUUGCAUAAUUACCAUAAUAUCACCCAUAGGAUUAAUUGAGUUGAACUAAAUAGAAGUCCUUCCCAUUAUUGAAUCUAGUUAAUUCUUUGCUUUUCUAGUUUUUAGUUUAAGUGAUAGUUAGUAAGUUUCUAGUCUUGUAAAACUAGAGAAAACCCCUACUUAUUAAUUAAUUUAGAUAAAAUUAGUUUUUAGUAUUAACUUACCGUUCCCUGUGUUCGAUACCCUACUUAUUUAGCUAUACCACAAUUGAUAGGUCCACUGCCUUUGUGUGUUCAUUUCGUAACUAAAAGUAGGUUUAAAACUAAGUGAGUUUACACACAUCAGGGUCCGAUGCACCAUUUUCACUGAUCACAAGAGUUUGAAAUAUUUGAUGGAUCAGUCGAAUCUGAAUAUGUGGCAGAGGAGAUGGUUAGUCAUGGCGAAAGAUUAUGACUGUGAGAUUUUGUAUCGCCCUGGGAAGGCCAAUGUGGUGGCUGAUGCUUUGAGCCGUAAGGCGCGGUUACCUCACCGGUGAUGGAUAUGAUCAAGGGGCUCAAGUAGAGGGUUUAAGAAAGGAAAAUUGGAAGAUUGAGCAGAUUAGGGAGCAGAUUCCAUUCUUUAUCAUAGACAGUCGGGGUUACUCACUCGAUGUGGUAGAUUUUGGGUUUCGACAAUUGGAGGAGUGAGACAAGAUUUUAAAGGAGGCCCAUAAGUCCAAGUUUUCUAUCCAUCCGGGGGCCAUGAAGAUGUAUCGAGACCUGAGGUUGAACUAUUGGCAGCCCUGCAUGAAGCGGGAAAUUGCUUGGUUUGGUGAGCGGUGUUUAACCUGCAGGAAGGUCAAAGCCGAGCAUCAGAGGCCUCACGGCAAGGUUCAACCGUUACCCAUCCCCCUGUGGAAAUGGGAGGAUAUCACCAUGGACUUUAUCACAAAAUUACCUUGGACGGCGCGGGGUGUUGAUUCUAUUUGGCUUAUUGUGGUAAGGUUGACCAAGAGUGCUCAUUUUAUUCCGAUUUCUGAGAGUAUCUCCAUCGAAAAAUUAGCGGAUAUCUACAUGCGGGAGGUGGUAGUUAGGCACGAAGUGUCGGUAUAUGUGUUCUCAGACCGGGAUGUUUGAUUCACCUCCAGGUUUUAGAGGAAGUUUCAUGAGGAGUUAGGUACUUAACUAUUUUUCAGCAUAGCUUACCACCCCCAAACUUAUGGGCAGAGCGGGCGUACGAUCCAUACGCUUGAGGAUAUGCUUCGGGCAUAUUUUUUAGAGUUCGAAGGGAGUUGGGAUACUUACCUCCCACUAGCAAAGUUCUCUUACAACAACAAUUAUCAUGCUAGUAUUAACCAACCUCCAUUCAAGAUGAUGUAUGGGUGGAGGUGUAGGACUCUAAUUUGUUGGGGGAGGUUGGCCACCGAGUCAUGGGUAGCACCGUAAUGGUGCUUAAAACCACUAAGUUGAUUCAGCAGAUAUGCGAUAGGCUGCGAGUCGCACAGAGCCAUCCGAAAAGCAAUGUUGACCGACACCGUUUGGAUCUUGAGUUUCUGGUGGGGGAUUUUGUUUUGCUGAAGGUGUCACCUUGAAAAGGUGUCAUAUGAUUUAGGAAGAGGGGUAAGUUGGGAUCCCGAUUCAUUGGUCCAUUCAGGAUUUCUGCCCGAGUUGGCAAGGUUGCUUAUCGGCUGGAUCUUCUUGAUGAGCUCAGUCAGAUCCAUAACACCUUCAAUGCGUCUUAGCUCCAAAGGUGUGUAGUAGAUGAGGCUGCAUUUAUUUCAUUGGAUGAUAUUCAGGUGGAUAAGAUCUUGAACUAUGUUGAAAAUCCCAUUGCAAUCUUGGAUAGAAACACUAAAGUUCUUCCUAACAAGGUGGUGAUGUUGGUAAAGGUGCAAUGGCAGCACCGGAAGGGCUCUGAAUGGACUUGGGAACCGGAGGACGAGAUGCAGGGGCAUUACCCGGAUAUUUUUGCAUCAGCGGACUUCGGGGACGAAGUCUAGUUCAAGUAGGGGAGAGUUGUAACACUCAAAUCCAGGUAUUCCGUUUUUACCCUCAUAGUAUUUCAUUUUUGGCAAAUAAGGACCCUCCGUACGAUGUACGCUGGGUGUACAUAUGAGUACGCUUAGCGUACGCUUGUGCAUGCAGUGGGUGGCUGAGGCUCGUAUGCGGCGUGUACAAGCAUGUACACGGGGCAUACGAGACCAUUGACCAAAACCCUAAUUUCUUGGCUUGGACCCUAUUUAAACACACUUAUACCGUUUUGACCAAACCCUAAUCAACCUCCAUAGCAUUUGUUUUCGUCCUUAAACCUUAUUUUUUCAAGAGAGUGUGAGUUUUGAGCCUAAAGGUGAUUUUGGUGGCCAUUAUAGUGGAUUUGCAAGAAGACGAAGGUGGUAUUCAAGCUUUGAACAUGGGAAGAGCUGGAGGAUCUUGCAUCUAGAGUAUCUUGGGGAGAUUUUGAAGUGUGAUAUUUUGGACUGGUAGUCGAGCAGCUAUUAUUUUCAGCAGAUUAAGAUGAGUCUUCUCAUCAUACCAAUGGGUCAAAGGCACCAAUGUUGGCCCAUCAUCUGAUAUGUGGACUUGAUUGUUGAUAUGCAAUGGUAUGUUGGUUGGCAUGUAACGAUCUAUGUGAAGACCAUGGGGGAAGCCCAUGACACCUGGUUAUCAGACCAUGGGAAGGAGUCCAUGGCAUUCCAAGUAAAGACCAUGGGGGUAGCCCAUGACACUUGGUUACUAGACCAUGGGGGNNNNNNNNNNNNNNNNNNNNNNNNGGGGGGGGGGGGGGGGAGCCUAUGGCAUUCCAGGUGAAGACCAUGGAGGGAGUCCAUGACAAUCCUAUGUAUAUCUAUAUGUUGCAUGACAUUACUUGAUUGUAUGUUUUGUUUAUUUUGGGGACUCACUAAGCGUUUGCUUACAGUUUGUUGGAUGUUUCAGGUACUUCUGGUUGUAAGGGCAAGGGCCCGACUUGAUGGCGCAACAUCCACUCUCCAGUAUUCCGAAUUUCUUGUUUUGGAUACUCUAAUCUUAUGGACAUGAGUUUAUGAAAUGGAAUUUUGGAAAAACAAACAUGGUUUUAAUUUCUAAAUACUAAUUGAAAAAAAAUUAUCUAAAUUGUCGGUCUAUUACACAUGUUCAAAGCCUUGUGAACAUUAAAGACCAUCGAGAAAACCGGUUCAAGCAUGGAUCAAUUAGUUGUUAUUUUUACUAUAUGUAAAAGCCCAGUUUAUCAUCAUACACACACAUUCUAACUUCUACUCUCACUCUUAUUCUCUCGAUACUUAAGUAUUUACACCUACUACAUGACCAACUAACUCUUGUAAUUUUAUUUCGAUUAAUAUAAAUUCUAAAGCAUGUGAUUUCAUCACCUACCGAUGUUUUAUGUCAGAGAUCCAACAUGAUUAAGGGCUUUCCUCGUACAUCAAUGCGUUAUUGUAUUUGCUUUUACUUAUUUACCAUUGUUUGAUCAAUUACAAUAUUUUCUAAUAUUUACUUGAUUGUUUAUUUGAUUUUAUUAAUAAAACUUCCAAGAUAUUUUGUAGAAUCUUAGUACUGUUGGAAUAGUGUCUAAGGCUGCAACUAUAUUAGGAAAGUAUUUGACCCGGUUGUGCAUGGUCCUUUUGGGUUGCCUUCACCAUAGCAACUUGACAGGAUGAUUUGUAAUGAGAGAAGAAAUAUUAUUAAUAUAUUAUGAGAAUAAUAUAAGGAAUAAUAAUAUUAUUAUUUGAUUAAUAUAAGUCAUAAAUUAAUUAGGAAUUAAUUUGGUGACUUACAAAGAUUAAUUAAAUAGAAGGGCAUAAAUUGUCUAUUGUAUGAUAGUUGUACUUUGAGCUAUAAUCCUUUAUGGAUAAAGGGGGGGGGNCUAUAAUCCCUUAUGGAUAAGGGGGGACGGUUUUGAGGCUUAGGAUAGACCUUGAAAUCGUCCAAGGCUUAUCAUUAGGGUAUUGGAUUUCUUAGGGCUUAAGUUAUCCAAUUAGGGUUUAAGGGUGAAACCCUAGGAGCCUCACUAGUAUAAAUAGACCCUAGGGGUUAAGGGAAAUCGACACACUUUGUCUCUACAGAAACCCUGGCCGAUUUCUUCCUCCUCUCUCCUCUCUCUAUAAUCAUCCUCUUGCUAGUUGGUGUUUGUAAGCCAUUAGAGGAGUGACAAUUGUGACUCUAAAGCUCCAAGGACAAGAAGAUUCAAGCAAGUCAUCAAAGGUAAUCUUCUAAAUCUGAUUUCUUAUGUUAUUAUACUAGAAUUGUCAUUAGAAGUCUUGGAUUCAAUGCAUGUUCAAUUAGAGAAACCUAGAUCCAAGCAUUAGGGUUUGUAUGUGCACAUAGGAAUGUUCAUAUGGCUAAAACCCAUCAAGUACCUUUUUGAGUAUUUUGAGAUUUAUUAUACAAAUUCACUUGUUUGACAAUUAUCAAGGUUUUCAUGGGUUUUUAGUCCAUUCCGUCUUAGUUCGUUUAUUUGGAGCCGUUAGGGUCAUCACAUGCCCUCCUUAUGAGGGAAUUUUGGACAUUUUGCUUCCCAAUCUCUAUUGUCGCCACUUCAAUUAAUAAGAUUGCAGACUGUACUUCACUCCUUCGUCUUCUGUCAUACCUCAUUUAUCAAUCAAGACGCAAAAACCCUAACCAUUGUGUGAGAAUCAAUUUUCGUCCAUGCUUUUGAAAAUGUGGGGACUUAAAAAUGUUGGAGAGAAUGUUAAUGUUCAAGAAGUUUAUGGUAAGAUUCUCUAUAUAUGAUGAUCAAGUUUCAAACUUUGAAAAACUCUAACAAUCGUCUCUUUCUGUUUUAAAGAUGGUUACUCCAACAUAACUUCAUCAUGGAGGGAGUUUCAAAUAGUUUCCAAAUAUCAGGUAUAUUAAUGGGCAAGUUAGGUACUUUGAUGUUGUCGGCAUUGAUGAAUUUUAUGCGCAUGAACUAGACUUGAUAAUGAGAGAAUUAAGGUAUGACGGUACUGAAAUCAUGUAUUACCCUUUCUGUUUGCCUAAUGAAGGAUUUGACUCUGGAUUACGAGCAUUAGAUAAUGAUGAUGAUGUACGUAAUCUCUUACAGUAUGUUACCCAUAACAAAGUGAUUAAAGUGUACACAGAGCAUGGUCAAACGAACUUGCUUACAUAUUUUAUGUCCCCAAAUGGUCCAAGAAGGGUUAUAACAUAAGACAUGGACAAUCAGGAUCCUCCUAGACCCUCAUCACCUGUAGUUUCUCAUAAAAUGGUAACUCCAAUCCAAAUUGAUGUUGAUGAGGGUGAUUUUGGGUUAGCAUUAACAUUAUACAAGCCAGCAACACCUUAAUUUAGUAGGUCUAAAGGUUAUAAACAUAGUAAAGGAGGGGUCAUAUUGUAGUAGAAAACUUAACUUGGAUUAGGAAGGUGGUGAAAAAACAAUGGCAAGUGGUGAAGUUGAUAAAUGUAAGGGUGUUAAGCCAAUGCAUCCAGAAUUUGUUAUAGUUGAUGCAGAAAAAGAGUUAAACAAAGAGAUUGAUGUGAAUGAAGAAAUUUGACAUGAAAAAAUCCAAUGGUGAGGGUGUAGAAGGAUUUACAGAUGAGGGGUAUAGAGUUGUCAUGGAUAAUGAUCCUCAAGGAGUGAAUGAAUUUUCAACUAACAUCAACAUAGAUGAUGAGUUAAUGACAAACUUUCAACCUUUUGAAGGGUUUGAAGACCAAGAUAGCAUCCCAUUUAAUAGGUUUGAAGGCCAAGAUAAUAUUCCUUUCAAUGGUGAAUGGAGACAUGGAGGAUUUCAAUCAAAAUAUUGAUACAGAAGCAGAGUUCACUGGACAUCAAAGUUUGGGUGGUCAAAGAAAUGAAGAGGGUGAUCAAGAAGAGGAUGCAGAGGUAAUUGAUAUGACGAGCGGGAUUCACUUAGUGAUGACUCAGGGGACAAUAGGAAAAGAAGGGAAAUGAUCAAAGAGUUGGGGAAACAAACAAUAUGUUAUGCUGGUGAGGUGCACAAGGUAGCUUUUUAUACUGGGCAGAAAUAUAAAGCCAAGAAAGAAUUAAAAGAUAGAGUCGACCUACAUGCUUUAGAGACAAGGAGGAAUAUCUCAUUCACAAAAAAUGACAAGAUGUAGAUUAACGAUUAACAGUUGUUUGUGAUGGAACUGUAGUUGUAAAUGCAAGUGGGGUAGGUGGACCUACCUCUGGGAAAAAGGUAAAGGGUAAAUAUGUAAGCUCUGAUAAAGUUAAAUGCACUUGGAAACUUCAUGCAUCUAGGUCAAGUGUACAUGACUAUUGGUUUAUUAAGACAUAUAAUCAAAACACACAUCUGCCUCUAAACACGAAAAAUCAGACCUUAUACAACAACAUUUCUUGCCAAACAAAUUAUGGAUCAGAUUGAAGCUAAUCCUGGUCUGCCUGUUCGUGCCCUACAAGAGCAACUGCAAAAGACAUAUGGGGUUACUAUUUUAGAAGAGAAAUAAUUUAGGGCAAAAGCAGUAGCCACCAAAAAUGUUGUAGGAGAUUACGUAAAGCAAUAUGCAUCUUUGAGAGACUAUGUACUAGAGCUACAAAAGACAAAUGGAAGGUAUAAUUGUAAAGAUUGAUGUGGUUUCUGAACCUGUGGUUUCAUCCCUAACCAGGCAGUUCAAAGGAUAUACGUGUGUUUAGGGCCUUUAAAGAAAGGAUUUAAGGUAGGAUUGAAAGAAUUUUUAGGGUUAGAUUCAUGAAGGGACCUUUCCUAGGUCAAAUACUAAGUGCAAUUGGUGUUGAUUCCAACAAUGGAACCUACCCAUUGGCAUAUGCUGUUGUUGAGAGUGAAAACACUUCAAGUUGGAAAUGAUUUCUUCAAUGUCUUGGAGAAGAUCUUGACUUGUAUUCAAAUUCUGUCACACCCCAAAACCAAGAACGGCGGAAACGUUCUGGGGCGGAGGACGUCAUGUAAGGUAAUCACAACACAGUAAAUGUAAAUAGGCAAACAACAUCAUCCAUUGCAUUAAAUAUAUCAAUUUAAUACAUGUGUGUUCUGUACAGUUUUAGACACCAAAAAUAUAACGUAAAUCAAAAUAACAAAAUGAUGAGUCUUGAGUAUGCUCCAUCAUCUCAAAAGCUGGCAUCGGUACCUGUCUACUGAUGACCUGAGAAUACAAGUUAUUUUGAAAGAGUUUAUCAGCAUUAAGCUGGUGAGUUCAUAAGUAUUUUUGUGUCAAUGUUCAUUGUCAAAAACGUUUGAACUUGUCCCAAAGUAUAAGUUUGUAAAAAUGUAAAUACAUGUUUAAAAGUAUUUGCAAAAGUUUGAAUCUCUCAGAAAAUCCUAUAUUUUCUAUAAAAGUAACCUUCUACCAAGGCUUAACAGUUUUGUAAACUCGUCUGUUGUAAAAGUGUGUGAUUUCCCAAGUAUAACUAUCAUUUGAUAAAAUAUAGUUUGUACAUAAUGCUUAAGUGAGAUUAUCACCAAAAUAUGUAAUGGGUAAAUCAUUGUAGUACUGUAGUUUUGUAUAAUAAGAACUACUGUUGUACUAAUUACUACUACCUUAAACCGGAUUUAUAUUAAGGUAUAAUGUGAUAAUUGCACCAUACUAUCGACUGAUAACAACGACAUAAAGAACGGUCGUAAUAACGGAAUGACGUUUGGCACCCGCAGACCUGCAGGUCCGGCUGUAGCUAGCAGCAAGGUGUAGGAUAGUCAAUCCAGUAUAGAUCUAUACGCAAACUCAACGCUCUCCCUCCAAGAGAAUUCUGGCUACAACUCGGGCCAUGACAUUUAAGGCAUGCUCCGAUACAGUGGAUCACAUUUGUUAUCGUAUUCUUGCAUGUGUGAUGAAAUGUUUCUUGUUCUAGUAUAGUUGUAUAUGUUCUCGUAGUAUAGUUGUAUAUAUUCUCUUCCUAGUAUAGACUCAUGAAUGAACUGACUCAUUGAUCUAGCAGUUGUAAUAGUAUGAUUCUGUGUUACCCCGAUGGUAACUUGUUAACAGUGCGUUUAGUACAUAUGAUUAUGGAAGUACUUUUAUGUCUAUAUAUGUAUAUUUGAUAUAUAAUUAAUAUGGAAACGACCUUCGGAUGGUCACCCAAAAUCCUAUCAGACCACAUCCAAAUCGAGGAAAAGGAAACAAGGUGGAUAGCCUUCCUAAGUCCUUUAAACAUUAUUUAUACGUCUAUACAUAUAUGGGCAUGCAAUUUGUAAUAUAAAAGCAUAAAUAAGUAUUUAUAAGGCAUUUGAAACAUAAGUAUUAUUUUUAAAGAAAGAUUGACUUGAUGUCAAUCUAUAAAACCAUUUGAAGGUGUAGAUUUGAUUAAAACAGUUUAAGUAUAAGGAACAUUUGCUUAAAUCACAGUUGCAGUGUAAAUUCGAAAAGUAAAUGGGUUUGGAAAACAUUUAGAAGUAAAACAGUUUGAUAGAUAGUUUGAAUAGUGAUAAAACCACUGAUUUCCCUAGUUAUUAAUCACAUGUGAUUAGUACAAUCACAUGUGAUUGAAACAAUAACUAUAAGUAUUUAACUUGUAUUCCCCCCCUUUUGAAAGCAUAUAAAAGCAUUUAGAAUAUUUAACAGGUUGAUUAAGGGGUAUGAAACUCACUUGAUUGAUUGAAGAAAGCGAGAUGGAAAACCGGGCAGAGUUUCGUCUCGGAAAACGGAUUUUUCUCGGGAUUCUCGGGAAUCUCGGGAGUAAAAUCGACCCUCGGGACUUGAGCAAAAAGACCAGAGCUUCGGGUUAUAACGGGCACGGAAAACGAGACAAAGUUGUGAGAGAGAGGAGAGAAAUGAGCAACAUUUUCGGAAAGCCUCGCAUCCUAUUUAUAGGAAGGCUGAACCGCCUCCGAACGCGGGGCGUACGCUCGUACGCAGCGCGUACGCGUACGUCAUGCAUGACCGAAGCCUCGACUGCCUCGGUUCGGAUGGGACGGGUUGCUGGGUACGCGGGUCGGAUGGGACGGCGGGUCGGACGGGACAGCGGGUCGGACGGGUCGGAGCUUCGGACGGGUCGGACGGGUUAGAACUCUUCGGAUAGUGCGACGUGGACGAUCCGAGACCCUCGAUCUCAGUACGCGGGGCGUACGAAGGUACGCAGGGCGUACUUCGGUCCAAUCCGAUGACUCCCCUUCGGAUAUUACCGGGAAUUUAUAAUUAAAUUCUUAUUUAUUUUAAAUAAACUUCAAAAAUUCAUAUCUCUCUCAUACGAACUCCGUUUUUGACGUUCUUUAUAUCCACGCGAAGGUGAGACCAUGAUCUACGACUUUCGUUUAGAUUCCGUUGGCAAAUUCCGAAAUUAUUUUUAUUAUUUAUUUAUUAAAAUGACGUGAUUAAGGAAUUUCUUCAAAAAUUCAUAACUUCCUCAUCCGAAGUCAGAUUUGGACGUUCUUUUUAUGUACGCAAACCUUGAUAUGAUUCCUAUUACUUUAUUUAAUCCGAAUAAGAUUUUAGGAAGGUUACAUUUUGACCUAAAUUUGAUCGGUUUUACAUUACAUUGACUCGAAAUAUCGGGUUGUCACAUCAUCCCCCCGUUAGAAGGAAUUUCGUCCCGAAAUUAGAAUUUUAAGCAAGCUAGAAUUUACAAAUAACUAAGCAAAAAGGUGAGGGUAUUUCAGUUUCAUCUGAUCCUCACGUUCCCAAGUGAAUUCCGGUCCUCGCUUGGCAUUCCAGCGAACCUUCACGAUAGGGAUACGGCUUUGCUUUGUCUGCUUGACCUCACGGUCCAUGAUCUCUAUAGGUUCUUCCACGAAGUUGAGGCUCUCGUUGAUUUCGAUCUCGUCGAGUGGGAUUACAAGAGUCUCGUCGGAUAGACACUUUUUCAAGUUAGAUACGUGGAAUGUAGAAUGUACGUUACGAAGUGCGUCUGGUAGUUCGAGUUUGUAAGCUACGGGGCCGACUCUUGCAAGAAUCUCGAAAGGCCCUAUGUACCUCGGAUUAAGCUUUCCACGCUUGCCGAAGCGUAUCAAGCCCUUCCAGGGUGAGACUUUGAGGAGGACUCGGUCUCCCACCUGAAAUUCCAAAGGUUUCCUUCGUUUAUCAGCGUAGCUCUUCUGUCGGUCUCUAGAGGCUUUCAAUCGUUCACGGAUCUGAACGAUUUUCUCUGUUGUUUCCCGAAUGAUCUCCGGACCGGUGAGAGUACUGUCGGAAGUUUGCCCCCUGGCUAAUUGGGUAUCACCCACCUCAGCCCAGCACAGAGGGGAUCUGCACUUACGGCCGUAGAGAGCUUCAAAUGGAGCAGCCUUGAUGCUCGUGUGAUAACUGUUAUUAUAGGAAAACUCGACAAGGGGUAAAUGAGUAUCCCAUGCCUUCCCAAAGUCAAUCACGCAGGCUCGCAACAUAUCUUCUAGAGUUUGGAUGGUCCUCUCACUCUGUCCGUCGGUCUGAGGAUGGUAGGCUGUGCUCAUGUCCAGCCUCGUUCCUAGGGAAUGUUGUAGUGAUUGCCAAAAUCUUGAGGUGAACCUACUAUCUCUAUCGGAGAUAAUGGACAUAGGUACACCAUGUAGCCGUACGAUUUCCCUAAUGUAUGUUCUCGUAAGCUUCUCCAUCUUGUCGGUUUCUUUGAUAGGCAGGAAGUGUGCAGACUUGGUCAAUCUAUCAACGAUGACCCAUAUGGUGUCAAGUCCACCCGUUGUCUUGGGCAACUUGGUUAUGAAAUCCAUAGUGAUCCGCUCCCACUUCCAUUCCGGGAUCUCUGGUUGCUGCAAUAAACCAGAGGGCUUCUGGUACUCGACCUUAACCUUUGCGCAAGUAAGGCAUUUACUUACGAAGGUAGCAAUCUCUGCUUUCAUAUUAGGCCACCAGUAUAGCUUCUUAAGAUCCAGAUACAUCUUAUCUGAACCUGGGUGGACGGAAUACCGAGUGUUGUGCGCCUCGGUCAUGACCAAGUCUCGGAAGCCACCAUGUUUCGGUGUCCAGAUCCGGUUCAUGAAAUAUAAAGCUCCGUCACCCUUGGCUUCUAAAUUCUUGUCCAUUCCUCUAAGGGAUUCACUUGACACAUUUUCAGAUUUCAUGGCCUCAAGUUGAGCCGCCUGAAUUUGCUUAGUCAGGUGUGAAUGGAUGGUUAUCGAUAAUGACUUGACUUUGCGACCAGAAUAUUCCUUCCGACUUAGGGCGUCUGCUACUACGUUGGCUUUACCCGGAUGAUAACGAAUAUCGCAUUCGUAAUCACUGAGUAGCUCGACCCAUCGUCGUUGUCUCAUGUUGAGCUCCUUCUGAUCGAAAAUGUGUUGUAAACUCUUGUGGUCGGUAAAGAUAGUGCUCUUCGUUCCAUACAAGUAAUGUCUCCAGAUCUUCAGAGCAAACACUACUGCUCCUAGUUCAAGAUCGUGGGUCGUGUAGUUAACCUCGUGUGUCUUCAAUUGUCUUGAGGCGUAGGCGAUGACCUUACCUCGCUGCAUCAGAACACAUCCGAGUCCUUGGUUUGAUGCAUCGCAAUAAACUACGAAGUCUUCUAUUCCUUCGGGAAGGGAUAGUAUUGGUGCGGUGCACAAGGCUCGUUUGAGCGUUUGGAACGCUCUUUCUUGUUUCUCUUCCCAGUCAAAGGCCACACCUUUCUGGGUUAGGGUUGUAAGAGGCUUCGCUAUUCGUGAGAAGUUCUGAAUGAACCUGCGGUAGUAGCCAGCGAGACCUAGAAAUUGACGAAUUUCUGUAGGAGUCUUCGGUGCUGACCAGUUCUCAAUGGCCUUAAUUUUGGAUGGGUCCACGUGGAUUCCCUCUUCGCUUACCACGUGUCCUAAGAAUUCGACUCUUCGGAUCCAAAAUUCACAUUUCGAGAACUUCGCAUAAAGUUUCUCUUUUCGUAAUGUCCCUAGAACUUGUCGCAGAUGAUCGCCAUGUUCUUUCUUACUUCGGGAGUAGAUUAGGAUGUCGUCAAUGAAAACGAUGACGAACUGAUCCAAGUAGGGUCGGCAUACUCUAUUCAUCAGAUCCAUGAAGACUGCGGGCGCAUUGGUCAAUCCGAAUGGCAUCACCACGAACUCGUAAUGUCCGUAACGAGUUCGGAAGGCGGUCUUCGGCACAUCCUCCUCUAGCACUCGUAACUGGUGAUAUCCGGAUCUCAGAUCAAUCUUAGAAAAAUAGUUCGCCCCUUGCAGUUGGUCGAAUAGAUCAUCUAUGCGUGGUAGAGGAUAACGAUUCUUGACCGUCAGUUUGUUGAGUUCUCUGUAGUCAAUACACAUACGGAAGGAUCCGUCCUUCUUCUUAACAAACAAGACCGGUGCUCCCCAAGGUGAGAAACUUGGCCUUAUAAAGCCCUUGCUGAGCAGUUCGUUAAGUUGACCAGAGAGUUCUUGCAUCUCGGCUGGUGCUAAACGGUAGGGCGACUUGGCUACUGGGGUAGCUCCUGGGACUAAGUCGAUUCUGAACUCGACUUGUCGUUGCGGAGGUAAUCCGGGUAGUUCUUCUGGGAAAAUGUCGGGGAAGUCGCUCACUACUGGGAGGUUCUUUAGUUCUUUCGUUUCUAGGUUCGUGUCGACGACGUGAGCAAGGAAUGCGUGGUAUUCCUUACGCAGGUAUUUCUGUGCUUGAAUACUUGAUAUGAUGCGAAGACUUGCACCGGGUUUGUCGCCAUAGACUAUAAGAGUUUCGUUAGACGGAAGGUUUAGACGGACUGCUUUCUCGAAGCACAUGAUGUCGGCACGAUGAAGGCUUAACCAGUCCAUGCCAAUGAUGACGUCGAAACUUUUUAUUGAGACUGGCAUGAGGUCGAUUGGAAAUGAAUGGUUGUCUAGGGUUAGGGUACAACCUAAGUAUAUGCUACUCGUAUUUUCAGUUUUUCCAUUAGCCAUUUCUACUGUAAAUAGUUCUUUGAGUGCGUGCGGUGGUUGAUUAAGCAUGCGAGCAAAUUUAUGGUUUACGAAGCUUCGCUCCGCUCCACUAUCGAAUAGAAUGCAUGCAUAGGAGUUAUCGAGGAGGAACGUACCGGUUACUACUGUCGGGUCAGCAACUGCUUCCCCGUGGCCUAUAGCCAGUACCCUCCCUGCUCCUCCAGCAUUCCUCGCUUUGGGGCAGUCCCUCUUAAAGUGGCCUGCUUCGCCACAUCCAUAGCAGGUUGGGCUCGCGCCAGAGCCAGGGACUUGGUUGAUAGGUUGUGCCGGGAACUUACAGAAUCGGACGGUGUGUCCUUUCCUGUUGCAGUUAGAGCACUGCAAUUCACGGCAGGGGCCGUUGUGGUGGUAGCUGCAUUUGUUGCACUUGGGCGAACUUCCAGCAUACCGACUCACCGGAGCAGUAGUAGCAGCAGUAGGGGUUACUGCGGCAUGAAUUGCCACCAAUUGCUGCUUUUUGGCAGCCUGAUGCUUCUUCCUUUCAUCCCAGAAUUUCCGCUUAGUAUCGGCGGGUUUGGAGGGUUCCGGGAUGGCUAGGGUGGUUGUGGUUGCAGGGGUUUUGACUCCAUGGUCAAUGAGUCGUUGUGCCAAUCGUUUGGCACUGUCGAAGGUAGCGGGGUUUGACGCUAGCACAUUCCCCUGAUACGGAGGCACUAGUCCCCAUAUGUACCUCUCGAUCUUCUUCCCCUCGGUGGGAACCAUAUUGGGGCAGAGGGCCACCAGCUCGCUGAAUCGGGCAGUAUAAGCGACCACAUUGGUGCCCUUCAUCGACAGGUUCCAGAGUUCCUGCUCCAGUUUCUGGAUCUCGCCCCUCGGGCAGUAUUCCUCAGUCAUGAGGUCUUUCAUUGUUUCCCAGCCCAUGUCGUUGGCUACGACGAGAGUUAGGGCUUUGACGUGGCCGUUCCACCACGUUAGGGCUUUACCCUCAAAGGUGCAGGCGGCAUAUUUCACCUUGCACGCAGCAGGGCAUGAACAAAUUUCGAAGACUGAUUCAGUCUUCUCGAACCACUGCGAGAGAGCAAUGACUCCGCCGGUGCCAUAGAAAGGCUUCGGCUUGCAGUUUGUAAAAUCCUUGUAAGAGCACUCCCUUGAGCGCACAGGGAUUUCGAUCGGAAUAGAUUCCACAGGGGUUCCACCUCUGCUGGCAUCAGAAGAGUGAUACUGAGCCAUGGCAGUUGCCACUGCUGCAGCUACAACAGCAUUCAGGGCUACAGUAUCGAUGACCGGAGGCGGAGGAGGUGGUGGAGGUGCAGGAUUAUUCCUAUUCCUGGGAGACUUGCGAGGAGGCAUCCUUCAGCUGAAAGUUUAAAAAGAUAAGAAAGAUGGUAAGAAUCAAUUUGUAAGCAACGCGAGAGUGACACAUGGACUAACUAAACAUAGUCCAACAGUUGAAAGGGUGCUUGAAACCACAACAAGCAUUAUUAGUAGGAAAGCACAAGUGUAUAGAUUUUUCCCCAGAUAGAUAGAUCUCAAAAAUUUACUGGUAUUACUGAUGUAAUAAGUUCAGGGAAAAUCGACCUAACAGUAGGUCAUACAUCAUACCAUAUAGAAAAGUUUGACAGUCCUUAGAUUUCAAAUUUGAGUACGGAAGUUAGAAACAUUUUACACACAAGCGCUACUUGGAGCACAGAUGUUAAAGGCUAUCCUUUAAUUAAAAGACGGAGCUGUACUAGACAUCAACCAACGGCGAUGGGAAAAUCCCGGGCGAGUACUGCGGUCGGAUACUUGACGAAACACCUCUUGAAUGGGUCGAUCCUGAGUCCUCUGACGAGCUCGAAGUUCCAAUAUUUCAGCUCGUGAGGCAGCCAACUGCUACAGCAGGGUUUUAUUUGUCCUCCGGGUCCGUUCCAUGUCUUCUUCAAGACGGCGGAUGCUGACUGUGUUGACACCUGAGUCGGCAUCAAUCUCUAUGACCCGGUCGACGGCUGCUCCACCUUGCUCGACAAUACGAGCUAUUCUGCGGAUAAUGACAGGCAGAGCUCGGUCAGUAGAGCCACCAUCGCUGACGUUGUAAAAGGUUCGGUCCCCAAAGUAUGGUAAGGGUUGACCCUGAUCAUCACUCCAGCGGUUCGGUUGUUUGCCCACAUGGGUGUAGGACCUGGAAACGCUGGUCGAGGGUUGUUGUUCGGGGCUUGACCUACAAUCGGUAGGUUGUUGACUUCAGGCUCGGAGUCGGACCCAUCUGAAAAGCCUUCUGCGAGGUGAUCAUCCAAAGGGAUUGGAUGAUCAACUUCGGGCUCUUCAUCGAUCCACCCGGCAUUGCCUUCAUUGGGAAAGUACGGGUCGCCAUGAUGGAUAUCUAGCCAUCAAGAUCUACGCGAGAAUAGAGGUAUAAGAAUAUAGUAUACGUGUAACUAGUAGCGCAAAAUACUCCUAUAGUAUUUUAAGUUUAAGUUCUAUUGAUCUUCUUGUGGUAUUGUUGGUAAGUUUUUAGACUUGCUAACCUAUCACAACCAUUCUAAGGCAUGUGCUAAUCACUCCUAGGAUCAGCAUAGUUGAUCAGGCUAUGCCAUUCCCAGGACUGACCAUACAUCCCCGAGCUCACUUGUGAUAUUUAACAAUCGUAAUACUUUUGUUCUUGUCAUUGUGACACUUAUUUUAGUAUGAAUGCAGACUAGUAUACUUAGUUAAAUAUUUUAUUAUUUUAAGUAUAGACUCUUGGUCAGAGUUUAAUCCCCAAUGGGUUUAUAGUUUAGUAUAUCUUUUAUGGGUUGAUAUACUCAAUUCACUAUAAACAAUGCUCUGAUACCAAUCUGUCACACCCCAAAACCAAGAACGGCGGAAACGUUCUGGGGCGGAGGACGUCAUGUAAGGUAAUCACAACACAGUAAAUGUAAAUAGGCAAACAACAUCAUCCAUUGCAUUAAAUAUAUAAAUUUAAUACAUGCGUGUUCUGUACAGUUUUAGACACCAAAAAUAUAACGUAAAUCAAAAUAAUAAAAUGAUGAGUCUUGAGUACGCUCCAUCAUCUCAAAAGCUGGCAUCGGUACCUGUCUACUGAUGACCUGAGAAUACAAGUUAUUUUGAAAGAGUUUAUCAGCAUUAAGCUGGUGAGUUCAUAAGUAUUUUAGUGUCAAUGUUCAUUGUCAAAAACGUUUGAACUUGUCCCAAUGUAUAAGUUUGUAAAAAUGUAAAUAAAUGUUUAAAAGUAUUUGCAAAAGUUUGAAUCUCUCAGAAAAUCCUAUAUUUUCUAUAAUAGUAACCUUCUACCAAGGCUUAACUGUUUUGUAAACUCGUCUGUUGUAAAAGUGUGUGAUUACCCAAGUAUAACUAUCAUUUGAUAAAAUAUAGUUUGUACAUUAAUGCUUAAGUGAGAUUAUCACCAAAAUAUGUAAUGGGUAAAUCAUUGUAGUACUGUAGUUUUGUAUAAUAAGAACUACUGUUGUACUAAUUACUACUACCUUAAACCGGAUUUAUAUUAAGGUAUAAUGUGAUAAUUGCACCAUACUAUCGACUGAUAACAACGACAUAAAGAACGGUCGUAAUAACGGAAUGACGUUUGGCACCCGCAGACCUGCAGGUCCGGCUGUAGCUAGCAGCAAGGUGUAGGAUAGUCAAUCCAGUAUAGAUCUAUACGCAAACUCAACGCUCUCCCUCCAAGAGAAUUCUGGCUACAACUCGGGCCAUGACAUUUAAGGCAUGCUCCGAUACAGUGGAUCACAUUUGUUAUCGUAUUCUUGCAUGUGUGAUGAAAUGUUUCUUGUUCUAGUAUAGUUGUAUAUGUUCUCGUAGUAUAGUUGUAUAUAUUCUCUUCCUAGUAUAGACUCAUGAAUGAACUGACUCAUUGAUCUAGCAGUUGUAAUAGUAUGAUUCUGUGUUACCCCGAUGGUAACUUGUUAACAGUGCGUUUAGUACAUAUGAUUAUGGAAGUACUUUUAUGUCUAUAUAUGUAUAUUUGAUAUAUAAUUAAUAUGGAAACGACCUUCGGAUGGUCACCCAAAAUCCUAUCAGACCACAUCCAAAUCGAGGAAAAGGAAACAAGGUGGAUAGCCUUCCUAAGCCCUUUAAACAUUAUUUAUACGUCUAUACAUAUAUGGGCAUGCAAUUUGUAAUAUAAAAGCAUAAAUAAGUAUUUAUAAGGCAUUUGAAACAUAAGUAUUAUUUUUAAAGAAAGAUUGACUUGAUGUCAAUCUAUAAAACCAUUUGAAGGUGUAGAUUUGAUUAAAACAGUUUAAGUAUAAGGAACAUUUGCUUAAAUCACAGUUGCAGUGUAAAUUCGAAAAGUAAAUGGGUUUGGAAAACAUUUAGAAGUAAAACAGUUUGAUAGAUAGUUUGAAUAGUGAUAAAACCACUGAUUUCCCUAGUUAUUAAUCACAUGUGAUUAGUACAAUCACAUGUGAUUGAAACAAUAACUAUAAGUAUUUAACUUGUAUUCCCCCCCUUUUGAAAGCAUAUAAAAGCAUUUAGAAUAUUUAACAGGUUGAUUAAGGGGUAUGAAACUCACUUGAUUGAUUGAAGAAAGCGAGAUGGAAAACCGGGCAGAGUUUCGUCUCGGAAAACGGAUUUUUCUCGGGAUUCUCGGGAAUCUCGGGAGUAAAAUCGACCCUCGGGACUUGAGCAAAAAGACCAGAGCUUCGGGUUAUAACGGGCACGGAAAACGAGACAAAGUUGUGAGAGAGAGGAGAGAAAUGAGCAACAUUUUCGGAAAGCCUCGCAUCCUAUUUAUAGGAAGGCUGAACCGCCUCCGAACGCGGGGCGUACGCUCGUACGCAGCGCGUACGCGUACGUCAUGCAUGACCGAAGCCUCGACUGCCUCGGUUCGGAUGGGACGGGUUGCUGGGUACGCGGGUCGGAUGGGACGCCGGGUCGGAUGGGACGUCGGGUCGGACGGGUCGGAGCUUCGGACGGGUCGGACGGGUUAGAACUCUUCGGAUAGCGCGACGUGGACGAUCCGAGACCCUCGAUCUCAGUACGCGGGGCGUACGAAGGUACGCAGGGCGUACUUCGGUCCAAUCCGAUGACUCCCCUUCGGAUAUUACCGGGAAUUUAUAUUUAAAUUUAUAUUUAUUAUAAAUAAACUUCAAAAAUUCAUAUCUCCCUCAUACGAACUCCGUUUUUGACGUUCUUUAUAUCCUCGCGAAGGUGAGACCAUGAUCUACGACUUUCGUUUAGAUUCCGUUGGCUAAUUCCGAAAUUAUUUUUAUUAUUUAUUUAUUAAAAUGACGUGUUUAAGGAAUUUCUUCAAAAAUUCAUAACUUCCUCAUCCGAGGUCAGAUUUGGACGUUCUUUUUAUGUACGCAAACCUUGAUAUGAUACCUAUUACUUUAUUUAAUCCGAAUAAGUUUUUAGGAAAGUUACAUUUUGACCUAAACUCGAUCGGUUUUACAUUACAUUGACUCAAAAUAUCGGGUUGUCACAAAUUCCAACUUCACCUUUAUCAGUGAUAGACAGAAGGUACUAUAGUUACGUAUAAUAUUGCACAUUAGGUUUCAUUACAGACUUAUACUAAUUACUUAUUUUGUUUUGGUGAAAACAAGGUCUUCGACCAGCCAUAAAACAAUUGUUUCCUAAUGCAGAACACAGGUUCUAUAUUAGACACAUAUACCAAAACAUGAGGAAAUUAUUUAAGACUACAAAGUAUAAGGAGUAUUUUUGAAGGUGUGCUACAGCCACUACCAAGCCAGAGUUUUAAGCUGUAAUGGUAGAGCUAAGGAAUUAUGACAUUGACACAUAUCAAUGGCUCUUGAAAAUCCCUCCACAUCAUUGGGAUAGAAGUCAUUUUUCAGUUAUUUUCUCAAUUUUUGUCUUACUUUUCAUUAUAGUAUAAAUAUACACUAACUGUUAUUUCUGUUAAUGAACUACUAGGAAGGGCAAUUUCAGACAUGUUAUUGAAUAACCUUUGUGAAGUGUUCAAUAGUGAACUUGUGAAAGGGAGAGACAAACCUAUUAUUAGUUGUUUGGAGUUUAUCAGAUAGUGCCUAAUGAAGAGAGUUUACAAUGUGAUGAAGGUGUUAAACAAGUGUCAAGGCCACUAAUUCCAACUGGUACCAGGAUUUUAGAAGCAAACACAACACUUGCAAGUAAGUAUCAUGCACGAUGGAAUGGGGGACAAAAUUAUCAGGUUAAAGUUCCAUGGAAUGAUCAACAUGUGGUGGACAUGGGGAAAAGGGAGUGUAGUUCUAGAAAGUGGGAGCUUAAUGGAAUUCCAUGCAAGCAUGCAAUUGCAAACCUAAAUGAAAUGACAGACAAUCCUGAAAAGGUGGGAGAACUAUACACCUAUGGGCAUAAAGUGUAUUGGCUUGAUACAUGGAAAGAGAUGUACUCCUUCAAGGUGGAGCCUAUCAAAGGUAGAGCCAUGUGGCCUUAGAGUGACUGCCCAACAACUCUUGUCCCUCCACCACACAAAAAAGCUAUAGGUAGGCCAAAAAAGAAAAAGAGGAUUACAGCAGAGGAAAGGAUUGAAAUUCAGCAACGUAAGAGCCAAGCAAACUGUUAAAGUCAGAAUGAUAAUGAAACUCAAAAGCCGAGUAGGAAGUCUUUUGCUAUGACAUGUAGUGUAACACCUCAUUUAUUUAUUUAAUAAAUAAAUAAACAAAUGACCGAACAGUAUCCUUAAAAUAAAUAAUUACAUGCAAAAGGAUGGUCUCCCAGAGCUAAUUGUCAUAAUUUUAGAAGGUGGGGGUUAAAGUUCAAAAAUCAGACUCAAUUUGUAAAGAGUUUUGAGGGAUGGGGUUAAAAGGGUAACAUAUGGACUUUAUUUGAAAAGAUAUUGAAGAGGGGGGGGGGGCUGUUUGGUAAGUAUUAUACUUACUUUGUAAUUUAAGGCUGAGGAUUAAAAAGGUAAAUUUCAGACUCUAUUGGAAAUGAUUUUAGAAGGGAGGUACCAUAGUUGUUAUUAUGGGAGAAUGUCUUGAAGGAACCGGGUAUAUAACCCUAGCUUCACCGGUCAUCAAACCUAAACCUAAGGAACACCCUUCAGCCGCCAUGAGAAAUCUUCAGCCGCCGCCUGCCCUCCUCUUCACCAUUGAACAGUCGUCGGACGCCAAGAGUGGACCGCUAUGCGUGGAGCGCUACCACCACCCAACUCCCUCUCAUUCUCCUAUCUGCUGAAUCCCCAAGCAACUGCUAACAUCAAGCCACUAUCAGAGUCGUUGUUGCUCCAGUUGCCGACGAGGACGCAAGCAGGCGUCUUCUCUCUGUCGUGCCACUGCUGCUAUCAUCGGGGAUUAUGUUGCCGUCGCCACCUCGCUGUUAGUUCUUUCCGUCAAGGACUGUGCCUACCGCCACCCUUUCACCUCCAUCUUCGCUGUCGUCAUUCAUUGCUGCUACGCCAUCAUAUUCUUUGUUUCUUCCCACUAGCCACCGUUGUGGCCGUUAUGGUUACUGUUGUCGUCACCGUGCACCACCAGUGGGUGGUUGCAUCCAGAUUUCGAUUUGCAAGUCGUGUGUGGGUAAAUUAUUGGCUGGAAGACACAAGAGGACCACCAUGGCAGCCAACCAUGGUGGUUGUCGCCGGGAAUGCUCUUUCUGCUGCCACAAGCCACCGUGAAAGGCAGUUGUGGGCGAGUUUUGGUGUUUGUAUUCAUUAUUUGUGAUGUUAUGAGGCUACAUGAGCAUUCUUGGCUGGAGAUCUGAAGAUAGACCCUACAACCACCACCUUAACGUCGUGGCUGCCACCAUAUGCCACCAUGUGUGUGUUUAUGUUAGUUAGGGUGGGUGUUACUUUUGGUAUUUCAUUGUAAAUUGUAAAAGAAAAAUGGAAUAAUGAGAUAGAAACCCUAACCACCACAGGCCACCUUGUCGGGUGGCGAUGUGCCUUGUUUGGUUUGUGACUCGUUUGGAAUGUUUAGACAAGGGACUAAAACCCUGAUGGGCCCAAUGAAGCCCGAAAUGGCCUAAAAGCCCAAACAUGUGACUAAUAGGCCUAAUGAACCCUUAUUGAUCAAAAGGCCUAGUUAUUUGGCCUAUUGGGCUAAGAUGGGGUUGGAAACCCUAAUUAGGGUUUAGAAAACCCUAAUAUUGGAUUUAUGGGCUUGGACUUAUCGGGACCCACUUUUGGGCCAAUUGGAAUGGAGUUGUAAAUUACACCCAAUCACACCAUAUGACUUACCUAAUAAAGAUAUGGACUUAAUGGAUUAAGUCCUUAAUAGGUUAAGUGAGAAACACUUAACCCUAAUCGUUAUUUUAUGUGAAACCCUAAUUUCACUUGGGUUUAUUGUUGUCACACCCCCAAACCGGAACGACGGAAAUGUUUGGGGGCGGAUGACGUCAUGUUUAGUAUCAUAACACAUGUAUCAUAGUAAUCAUAGUAACAAACAACCAUUGUAUUAAUAUUAAAGUGUUUACAAAGUAUGUGAUUCACAAAAGAUUGACUCCAAAAGUAAAUAACAAAACAAGACAUGAAGCUACUAUGCUCCAUCUUCGGAAUCCCAGAGUGCGUACCUGUCCACUAUUCUCCUGAGAAUACAAGUUAUUUUAAAAGAGUAGAUCAGCAUUUAAGCAGGUGAGUUCAUAAGUAUCUUAGUGAUGUAAAGUAAGUUGGAAGUUCUUUUUAGAAAAGUUCGCAUGUUCCUUCAGAAAAUCCUAUAUCUUCUGAUGUGAUGAAUGAGAGUAAAAAUGACUCUCCCUCUAUAAGUACUAAAUGGAUACAAGUUAUAUAUAAUUUACAGUAAACAAACAAUCGAUUGUGUAAAUUUGCCUUAAGCCCACAACCAAACAAGGAACAGGGAAUGAGGCAGAAGUCACACAUCCCAUUGUUUGUUAGAUCUUCACUGUAUAUAACCCUAGCGUAUUCAUUUGGUACUUAUGGAGUUAAUUGUAAUAGUUCUUUAUAUUUUAUGAAAACAUUCUUUAAGAGAAUCAUAUAUUUCCUUUAGUAAAGAUAGUAACCACAAUAGUUCCUUCUAUAAUCACUUAGUGUAUACAAACUAUAUGUAAUCUAAUAUCGAACGGACAGUUAAAUGGGUGAAUCUGCCCUAAGCCCACAACCAAACAAGGAGCAGGGAGUAAGGCGGAAAGCACACAUCCAAAUGCCUAUCGGAUAUUAAUUAUAUAUAACUCUGAUUUAUUAACUAAGAUAUUAUAAAAUUAACCACUAAAGGUCCUUUAAGUUAUACUAGUUUAAAAAAAUGGAUUAAACCCUUUUACUAAUAAGUUUCUAGUUUAGCCUACUAAAUGUUCUAUCUGAAAAAGUAUGUUUUUGUACUAGAAAACGAUAUAUUGAAUUUGUAUGCUAUGACCUGACCCAUACCUGGUACUCCUUAUGANAUAUAUAUAUAUAUAUAUAUAUAUAUAUAUAUAUAUAUAUAUAUAUCUUUAUACCAUGUUUUUUAUCAUCUUUUGAUUAGAACAAUGAGUUAAUGAUAUGUUCCCUUCCUAGGUUACUGGGAAUAAUUAUUAUAAGUGUGUUAAUCAUGAUUUGUUCUUCUGUUAUAGCAUAUUGUGUGUUCCUCCCUAUUUCGCUUUAUAGUAUGUUCUUUCUGUUUCUCGUUAUAGUGUGUUCUGAACUGACUCAUGUAUGAACUGACACUUGUCUGUUUCAUUGUACUAGAAAUAGUGAGUAGUAGUCCUCUAAACUAUACCUAUUAUAGUUUACUAGUAAUUUUAAUUAAAUGACUGAGUAUGUUUGUACACCUUUGCUACCCUGUUCCUCCCUAUUUCGCUUUAUAGUAUGUUCUUUCUGUUUCUCGUUAUAGUGUGUUCUGAACUGACUCAUGUAUGAACUGACACUUGUCUGUUUCAUUGUACUAGAAAUAGUGAGUAGUAGUCCUCUAAACUAUACCUAUUAUAGUUUACUAGUAAUUUUAAUUAAAUGACUGAGUAUGUUUGUACACCUUUGCUACCCAAGGUAUUGAAUUGAUUUGAAAUAGUUUGUUUGAUAACAUAGUUUGAAGUAUAAGAAAUCUCUUGGUUUGAUAGUUAUAAAUCACUUGUGAUUGAUUAUACAACUAUAUGGUUUUCUACUUGUAUCCCCCCCCCCCCCCNNCCCCCCCCCCCCCCAUAAAAGCAUUUAAAAUCAUUUAAAAGAUAAGUUAGGGGUAUGGAACUCACUUGGUAAGAGUGAAUAGGGCAACGUUUCGUUCUAGGAAUGAUCUUUCUUGACGUAACUACGUGUUUCUGGUGAAGAAACGAGCUUCACGCGGGCAGUACUUCGACUGGAAAGGAGUUAGUUUCUCGGGAGAUUCGGGGCAUCGGGACUUGCUUCAUGUGCUAGGGGUGUUACCCAGGCUUCGGGGGUAGUCUUGGGAUGCUUAACACAGAGUAAAAGUGGAAAGGAGAGUAGAAUUGAGCAGCCUAAACCCGAGACCUUCGGUUUCUAUUUAUAGUGAGUAAUUUUGGAGCUCACAUCGUGAGCAUGGAGUGGCUCAUGUCGUGAGUUCGAUCUUACCCAUCCGCUGACUGGACUUCUGACAGCCCAACUCUGGAACCUAUCCAUCACUGGCUCACAUCGUGAGCUUCAGGCUCAUGUCGUGAGUCCUCUGGCAGUGUGAGAAUUCGUGUCCCGAACUUCAUAAAUUCAUAUCUCUUGCAUACGAGUUUCGAUUUUGAUGUUCUUUAUAUCCACGUGUAGGUGAUAUUAUGCUCUACAACUUUCGUUUAGACUCUGUCGGCUAAUUUUGACUUUAUUUUUAAUAUUAUAUUUUUAACAGGGCGGGACUGGAAAAGUCCGUAAAAAGUCCAUAACUUCUCCAUCCGACGUCCGUUUUCGUCUGUCUUUUUACCAUUGUACUACUAUUGUCGAGAUUUUCAAUUCUCGUUUAGGUUGCGUCAGCUAAAAGUCACUCGAUCUUUAUUUGGAGUUUUUAGCUGUCUACUACUAUAUCUGAAACUUAGAAAAAUCACAAUUUCCUCAUACGAAGUGAGAUUUGGACGUUCUUUUUAUGUACAUUUACAGUUUAAUGAUGUCUACUUUUAUAUAGAUACCUAAGUCUAAAAAGUGUUCUAUUGAAAUUUUGCGUUUUAUGCUUAACAGUGCUUUACCGGCUAAAAAUUUUCGGGUUGUCACUGCUGCUAUCGUCGGGGGGGUUAUGUCGUUGUCGCCACCUCACUGUUAGUUCUUUCCGUCAAGGACUGCGCCUGCCGCCACCCUUUCGCCUCCAUCUUCGAUGUCGUCGUUCAUUGCUGCUACACCAUCAUCUUCUUCGUUUCUUCCCACUAGCCAUCGCCUUUAGCCACCGUUGUAGCCGCUAUGGUUACUGUUGUCGUCACCGCGCACCACCAGUGGGUGGUUGCGUCCAGAUUUCAUUUGCAAGUUAUGUGUAGGUAAAUUAUUGGCUGGAAGACACAAGAGGACCACUAUGGCAGCCAACCAUUGUGGCUGUCGUCGGGAAUGCUUUUUAUGCCGCUACAAGCCACCAUGAAAGGUGGUUGUGGGCGAGUUGUGGUGUUUGUGUUCAUUGGUUGUGAUGUUAUGAGGCUACAUGAGCAUUCUUGGCUGGAGAUUUGAAGAUAGACCCCACAGUCACCACCGUGAGGUGGUGGCUGCCAUCAUGUACCACCUUAUGUGUGUGUUUAUGUUAGUUAGGGUGGGUGUUACUUUUGGUAUUUCAUUGUAAAUUGUAAAAGAAAAAUGGAAUAAUGAGANNNNNNNNNNNNNNNNNNNNNNNNNNNNNNNNNNNNNNNNNNNNNNNCCGCCGUGUCGGGUGGCGGUGUGCCAUGUUUGGUUUGUGACUCGUUUGGAAUGUUUGGACAAGGGACUAAACCCUAAUGGGCCCAAUGAAGCCCGAAAUAGCCUAAAAGCCCAAACAUGUGACUAAUAGGCCUAAUGAACCCUAAUUGAUCAAAAGGCCUAGUUAUUGGGCCUAUUGGACUAAGAUGGGGUUGGAAACCCUAAUUAGGGUUUAGAAAACCCUAAUAUUGGAUUUAUGGGCUUGGACUUAUCGGGACCCACUUUUGGGCCAAUUGGAAUGGAGUUGUGAAUUACACCCAAUCACACCAUAUGACUAAUCUAAUAAAGAUAUGGACUUAAUGGAUUAAGUCCUUAAGUGAUAGUGGUAGUGGUAGUAGGGGGUGAAAUAUUUCCCGGUUACCGAUCAAUAGGACCAAAGGGGUAAAUUAGUACCCAACUAUGCUAGACUGAUUAUGAUAUAUGUGAUAUGAUAUUAUGUGGUAGUAGUAAGGGUGAAAUAGUCCCCAGUUACCGUUCGACAUGACCGAAGGGGUAGGCUAGCACCCAGAUAUGUUAGGCAGUAUGUGUUUUAUAUGUUUAUGCUAUGCUUUUAUGUGGUAGUGGUAGGGGUGAAAUAGUCCCCGGUUACCGGUUGAAAGAUACCGAAGGGGUAGGUCGGGCACCCAGAUAUGCCUGACAUGGGGUAGGUUGAGCACCCUUGUAUGCUCAGCAGGGUAGGUCGGGCACCCAGAUAUGCCUGGCAAUAUGUGAUUGUAUGGUAUGUGGUAUGAUGGGGGAACUCACUAAGCUUCGGGCUUACAGUUUUCAGUUUUGGUUUUAGGUACUUCGUUUUCAUAGGAAAGGAGCCAACUCGGUUGCAACGCAUCACACUGUGUUUUCCGUACAAGAGAUCUUUGGAAUUUCACUCUGAUAUUACUUUAUGAUAACAUGUUUAAUUAUUGACGUACUAGUUUGACACGAUAUUUUAUUAUGAAUGUUUUUGUUAUAUUGUUGGUAUUAUAAUAACCUAAUUAAAAAUGAAAUUUUUGGCCUUGAAUUUUGAGAUGUUACAAGUUGGUAUUAGAGCCUUGGUUUUAGGGAUUCGGGCACACUCCCGGGUGUGUCUGAACUCAAACUAAGGACUUGGUAUGAAAAUUUUCAAAAGUAAAACCCUUUUAUAAAAAAUAAGUUUGAAAAGAAUUUGAAAAAAAGAAAAGAACUUUAAAAAGAAUAAGGUGUGUGAUGCGUGCAAUCAGCCAAACUCAAGUAAGUUUUCCCCAAGAAACCCAUACAUGUUAUGAUAUGUUAUGUUAUGUUAUGAUAUGAUUAUGAGAACUGUCAGCUAGAUUAGGGCUAAGGAUAUAGGAGGAUGCCUUAUAUGCCUAUUAUAUGUACUUGUAGACUUGCAUGCUAGUAACGAUCAGUCAGUGAUAAAAUAGCCUGUUUAGGUUAUGCCUGAUUGUAUGAGCCUUUGAAUUGCAUGUACAGAUUCCUUAUUAGAGGAUAGAAUGGUUUGAAUGGAAUAUGAUGGUUAGAUUUUUCCAUUAUCUGAAUGUUUCUUGCUUUGUGAAUUGUGGGACUCUUAGUAAUGUGAGCUAGCUAUUAAGUGAAUAUGCUAAGUCACAGGUGGCACAGGCUGGAUAAUCUCAGAGUGAUAGAUUUGACCAUAUUGCACAGCUCUUGUCUGAGUCCAACUGUUCUAGGGAUUGGUCUAUUACUCGAAGGAUUAUAUGAUCUCUGUUACAUGUGGCUAUAUUCAGGAGGUAGCUAGUUGACAUUACUGGGAAUCUUUCAGUAGCUGAGGAUUGGGUGAGUACGGGAACCUAGGAAAGCCUAGGAUAUGUUUCAGUGGGUUGGUAGCGAUGCGUAGUGAGGCUUGGGUACCAAUUUGAGGAAGUGACUUGGAGGAUUCGGGAGGAUUGUUGAGGAAAGUAUGGAUAGGUGUGGAAGGUAGUAUUGGGCCCGUACUACUAAAAGCACAAGAUCCAUACUCGAAUCAGUGAGAGUCUUGGAGAAUCUGAGAAGCUUUAGGGAGAAGUCUGUGACCCGGUUUGUGGACAGAGGAUGUUCCAGUUGUUGCAGCUUAGCCAUUGGCAAGCGAGCUAGUGAGCGUGACAGGGUGUCAGACCCUGAAGAAUAUGAUUUCCAAGAGUUGUAGAUACAAGAUCAAUUUGGAGCACCCUGGGAAGAGAGGGUCAUGCCAGGUGCCUAUAGUAGAAGGUCCCGGGAAGAGGCCCAUGACCUCCGAUCAUCGGGUGAAAGGCCAGCAGGGCCGGAGUCAAUGCAGCACGUACGGGAAAGUUCUCAAGGGAGUUUGUCGUUCUAAGGGUUUAGGAUGCUACAGGUGUGGUAGGGUUGAUCAUGUCAGCUGUAGGUGACUAGGAUUCCUCCAGAUGUUCCGGGUAUGUCAUCUUUUACUGCUACUAGAUGGAUGUUGGGAAUACAUAUCGCUAUGGAAUUGUGAGCGAGUUUGGAUAAGUCGGAUCUCAGGCCGGUUUUCUGCUAGUUUUUGGGUUAUCAAGGAUCAUAUAUGCCAUCUUGCAUUUCGAAAAGUCCUUGAUGAACCCACAGAGGGACGCAUUUUACGGAGUGGGUUCUGCGCGUACCAUUAUCAUUCUGGAUCUUUGUCGGGAUCUGUGUAGGAGUAACAUGUAGAGGAUACAUGGUCAUGGUUAGAGCGAUAGUUCUAUAGUGAAGUCAGCAUUCAGUGGUUCUAUCAUGGUUUAGGUAUGGUCGACAGUUGUCUAUGGAAGAACCUUGGAAGCUCAGGGCACUACCGUUGCUAGGACAGGACUAGUACCAUGAAAAUGGUAGUGUUAGUUGCGGUUGUUAGAUGCAUAAGUAUUGGGGCAUUGGAUGUGCAAGGGAAUUAUAUUUUUCGCAUGGGUCGUGUUUGAUUACAGUUCAUUGGUUUUGCAAGGAUUCUUUAGCCAAAGUGAAGAUUAAGGUCUUCAGUUGACAGCAUGGUAGAUGGGCUAAGGUGUAAGACUGUACCAGAUUUUAAGAGUGAUCUUCUGUUGGGUUUUGAGCAUUCUAACACUCCUAAGUGUACAUGCAACCCUAAAUACCUUGGAUCUAUGUUUUCUCUAUUAUACAUGCAAAUAUGAACUUCCAAGGUAUUAUCCUAAUCUAGCAUACAAAACAAUGAAUAUAACAAGAUAGAAUGCAUACCUCUUGAUGUAGAAAGUCUUCAUGAAGCUUGAGUGCCUAGUGCCCCAAGUGUGACACCUCAAAUGGUUCACACAACAUCAAUUACUUUUGGAAUAACCUUGAGAGAAAUAUAGAACACUUCAUAAAAAUCGGCUAGCCCUUCUCUAUCUCGAUAGUGGCCGAUUUUUCCAAGAGUAUGAUCUUUAUAUAGUGUUACAAUUAGUGUAAAACCUAAUUGUCAUGACUUUCCAUUUUCCUUGGAUCCAUGGGUACAAAACACCAUGGAGCAUCCAUGAAGCAUCAUAUGGGUUUUAUCCCAACUAGAUAAUCCAUGGAGCAUUAGCCCACUAUAUAAGUAUGGAUGAUUUACACAAUCAACCUAUAUAUUUAAUUAGUCUUCUUUUGAUCACUUAAUUAAUUCUAGAUUAAUUCUUGAUCAAUACUAAUUAGAUAAUCUUAUUAAUAUAUUAUAACUUAUAAUAUAUUAACAAACAUUAAGUGUUAUUUCUCUCAUUAUAGUCUAUCCAAAUGCAUGAUGCCAUGCAACCCAAAUGGACCAUGCCGGGUCGGGUCAAGUCUUACCAAUUAUAGUUAUGGACUUAGACAUUAAUCCAACAGUCUCCCACUUGGAUAAGUCUAAAACUAUUAUUGCAUAUGACUUCAAGAACCAACUGGCAAUCGUAGCUCUCAAAAGCUUCUGUCGAACUCUGACCUUGUAGAUGAACUCUGACCUUUGUCAAUGACUUGUCCAUUAGAUAAGGGAUCAUAUAUUCCUCCAUUCUAGAUAUCAUAUGGACUGAGACAUGGAUUAUAAUCAUUCUCUCUGUCCAUUUGUUGUUUCCCGAUUUCCGAUUUAUGACGACUGACUAAUUGAACAAAUCAAAUCAGUCCUGGCCCGGCCGAGCACUUCCAUUUGUCAUCAUCAAAUCAUCGAGGGGCCCACAGAUAUCGCUUUUAUCCCGAAGGUAAAAGGAAUGGAUAAACUUCGACUCAUAUGGCUUGUUCUACUACUUGUUGAAUCAUACACAAAGGCACGUUUUAUAGCACCGAGUUACCAAAUGCGUUUUCGUGCAAUCAAUGUACAACCAACUCAUAGUAACAACUCAUAUCUCUAGGUUUGAAGAAUAUAAGAUAUUAUCGUCUCAUGAUCACUCGUGAUAAAAUCCAUGAAGUGAUUCCAAUGAGCGCGGGUUGAAUCCAAUACUCAGAACUUAUGAGCACUCAUGAGUGUUGUAGCCCUUUGUCCAACACCUUAGACCUCUACAAGCCAACCCAUGACAGUCUUAAUUCAUAUCUACUUCCAACAUAUGACCGACUGUGGAUGGUUUGAAUAACUUAGUCAUUCCGGAAGAAUAACCUAGUUUAUUCGGGAAGUCAAAACAUGCAAAGUGAAACACAAUAAUAAUUGAAUCCAAUAUGGUAUCAACUCUUUGAACAUAAAUAAAACACCUUUUAUUUAUCACCAUAUGAUUACACAUUAUUCAUUGUAUACUGUUUCAGCUAUCAACUUUAUUCUUGAAUUUAAAACAAUAGUUGUCCCAUGCUCCAAGCAUGUACACUAUGUUUUCUUAAACACUAGUCAUGCCACACACCAAGUAUGCAUACUAUGUUUGUCUAUGAUCUUUACUUUGUGAACUAGAUCAAUUGAACAUAACUUCAAUGAUUCUCUUUUCACACUCCCAAAUCCUUACUGCAAAUGCAAGAAUUCCAAAUUCAUGCCAUUUACUGAAAUCUGUUAGAUUCUAAACUUAUAUGCAUUGAUCCUCUUGUAAUGAUUAUGCACAAAGUCAGAAAGACUUGACAACAAUCAUUACAGAGUAUUCCAAAGGAGAUCAGCUCCUUGGAAACAUCCUUCUUGCAUUAAGUUUCCUAAUCUUAAACAGAUUGAAAAUUCUAACUUUGAAACAUUUCCAGAUUCCAUUUUGACUAUCACUUCUGAACAAGAGUUGCCUCCUUACAGAUUAUGUCAAUAUGGUCCUUCCAGAAUUAUCACUAUACUUCCAACUGUCCUUGAGCAACCAAUCUUUGGUAAACCUUAGAUUGUCCUCGACAAUUGUUUAAUCCUUUUAGUCAUAUCCAGUUCUAAACCUUUUCCCUUCUUAAUGCCCCAGGCAUUUGGAAAAUUUUAGAACGGAUGAAUAUAGCACAUGUAAUCGAUCCUAUAUCCGAAGCAUAUGGGACACGAUUCAUGAUGUCUCACAUAAAGACUAAACCAGUCUUUUGCUAUAACAUUUCCAUUUCAAUUUGCCAAGUUCUCAUAAUUCAGAUUAUGAAAAGGGAUGCCGUAAUCAUAAUCGAAUUUUAGAACGCAAAUAAUGGACCCAUAUACAGAAUUUCCUUAUGUUGAGCCAUUCCAACAUGAAAUUCAUAUAUAUCCUUGACUAAAUGAUUAAAACCUCACGAUCUAAGCUUAUAGAUUUGAGAUGAAGCAUAAUUUCCUCUCCCUUAAUUAUAGCAAAACAACUUUUUCCCAAUUGAAACUUUUGUUUUCUAUAAUUAACAUUGCUAACUUGCAAUACUUAUCAUAAUUAUCAUGCUCCCACUAACAUGAUGAUUAUUAGCAUAACACUUAUGCUCCCACUAGCUUUGACAUGUACUCAGAAAUCAGCUGGACUUCUAGAAAUCAAUACUUCAUUGACUUUCUUACCAAAGUUCAGAUUUCUGAUGCUAGAUUGUUUUGAUAAAACUUUAUCAAAAUCAUACACCUUCCCUUAGAUAGCACACUUGUGUGUCUAAACAAUUAUGAAGAGGUAUGCCGUAAUCAUAAUGGUUAGACCUUUUUGCCACUUCUCACAAGUCCAGGUUAGUGUGCCGGUUAACCACACGCGCUCCACUAACGACUUUGAGAAUGCAAAUAUCACAAUUGCUAUCUAGCUAAAAUCUACUUAGUGAAAGUGUUUCCUCACCAUCAUUUUCAUGAAUCGGAGAGAAACCUUAUGACACUUAGAUUUAAUGGUGUAUGUGUUCUUAUCCAUGUGAAUUGUCAAAAUCAUAGUCACAAGACAAGGAUAAUGACAAAUCCAAACUCAUAUGGACUGAACUCAAUCUUAAUUUCUUGCCACCUGGCAGCUCAAGGGCCUACCAUUGCUUCCAAGUUGUUGUGCAACAAAUUGAGAACUCUAAGAACUCAUAUGCAAAGCCAACUUUAACUGGAAUGGGCACAGAAUAUGUCAACACGAUAGGUUAUGAACCUCAAGUCGUGUGCUAGUGAAGAACUUCAGGUUUUAUUCUUGAUUAGUUCUUGAGACUUUCAAGACCUUUAAGACUCCCACUGUCCUCUUGACAUAUAAGACUCCCUUGUCAAACAUCCAAGAGAUAGUGCGGAUUCUAAUCAAGACAAACACUUUACACAAUUGGCCUAAGUUGGUCUUUGUUUUAUCCAAAACAUCACAACUUACCAAUUUCAAAUGUACAAGAGUAGAAAACUUUUACUCUUACAUUUGACAAGUGUUUUAAACCUUCUUUAAGACAUGUCACUCAAAUGACAAUCUUGGAGUAUGACUCUAAGACUUGUAUUGGAACGAAGUAUGACUCAUCUUCUUGAUUUAACCAUUUCAACAAUUCAAGUUCCUCUUCUUAGUCAUAAGAAUGCACUAAGAUUUCCUUAGAGAACUAAUUUU